ACUUUAGAAGAAAUUUUUACCAGCUUCAAUGGCAUUUCUAGCAGCAAGCCGAAAAUCAUUAACAAUGUGAGGAAUUUCAUCUGUUGCCAGGCGGCGUGGUGGGGUAAACUGUGCAACAUCUAGGCCAUUGGAACGAAUUUGAGGUGUUAAUGGCUUGUCUGUGCAGGAGAUAGGAUCCUGUCCAUUGGGCUGAAAACCUGUAGAUGGGUGUCGAUCAAGAAGCACAAAAGUUACAUUUAGUGAUACAUUAAUUCUGUCAAAGUGUCAAAAGUGAGUUACCAGUGUUGGAAACUCUGCCUACAUGCCAAAUUUGGCAAAAGAAGAUUCCUCCUUUGGCAUGCACUGCAUUUACAAUUGGUUUCCAGGCCUCCACGUGCUCCUUUGUCCAUAUUCCAGGAGUAUCAUUGUACCUUCAAUCAAUAUGUCAUAUAGACGAAUUUAGAAAGAGUAUCCGGGAGGAAUGUAGAACGUAAUUAUAAACUUAUUGAGAACUUGGUAAAUUGUGGUUACCCUUGGGCAGUGUCAGAAACUCCUGUGGCCUCAGCUAUUAGAAGACCCCCUUUUGUGGUUCUUUGGGAGUAAUAAAGGAUAGCAUGUGGUUGAGGAACAUUGCCAUAUGAUCUUUGCCUUGUUAAUGGCGCCAACACAACUCUGCAAAACAUAUUAAGUGUUACUAAUAAGAAGUAAUUCACAAAAUGUCCAUCAAUUCAAAAAGAAGCGCGCUUAAAAUUAUAAGAUAGACGAGAUAUUUGAGAUAGUUGCUCAAAAUAAUACUAGAUUUUAAUUCCCUUGAAUAAUAUUGUGUAUUCAAUGCCCUUGCAGCUUUGAAUAUAAGAACCACACCAUCUUUAUCCAUCAAAUACAUACGACUAAUCAGAAUUAACAGAGUGCAGCUUUAGAUGAUGCCAGGGAGAUAAGAACACAGUCACCGUCUGUGUUCUCCAUUUUCUCAUCAACAAUUUGAAAAACUUCGGAGUAUCACUAAAACAAAUAAAGAGAAGUCAAGCUCAACUCUAACUUGAUGGAAGAAAAAGUUCAUCUCUGAUUGAAUUUCAAGUUUUAACCAAAUCAAAGAGUAUUGUGGAUAUCAAUUUAUUUAUUUCAUCAUUUUUUCAUCUAGUAUUGUGGACAUCAAUUAGUGAUGUUGCUAUAACAUGGGAAUCUUUUAAAUUUGCACAAAUAAGAAAUCUGUAACAGCAAAACAAUGAAAGAACAACAUUGAUCAAUUGAAAAUAGGAGAACCCUAUUUUGAAUUAUCAAAAAAAAAAAAAGCACAAACAUAAAGGGUUGUUAUAUGAAUAAUUAGGAAGAAGAAUACCUAUGAGACAACUGAAACUUUCCAAUUUUAUAAGGGGUUAGUAGAGCAGAUUUGUUUUCCAUUUUGUGACAGGACAAUCUUUCUUGAUAAUUAAGAGGUAUGGAUAUUUAUAGGAAAGGAGAAAGUGAGAUAUAAUUGGUGUGGAGUGUGGAGCCACACAAAUUAGUCCACAUUCUUGCUUUUUCUUUCUCCCAUCUACCAUCUCAGCCGCCCCAAAAUGAAGCAUCUUACUCCCUUUUGCGCUUAGAUUCAUGGCUCUUCUUCUUUUCUUUUUAAAAUAUUCCACCCUCGCUAUUUUCUUAGGAACUCAGGCACCCAGAAUUUAAUACUUUUCCCGUCCCAUUUUAUGUGAGGUAGUUUGACUCGGUAUGAAAUUAUAAAAAAAAGGAAGGUUUUUAAAAUUUGUGGUCCAAAAUGAAUGAUAAAAAUUUAUAUGGCUGCAAAUCAUUUCAUUAAGGGUAAAAUAGAUAUUUUAUAGUUAAAUUGUUACUUAAUAUAAAAAUGUGUCAUUCUUUUUGGAACAGACUAAAAAAGAAGUAAGUCACAUAAAUUGGGACAGAGGGAGUAUAUUUUUUUUAAAUUUUCAGAAAUAUACAAUUAUCUCCUAAAAAUAUAGUUUAGUUCAAAAUAUAAUUAGGUAUACAUUCAGUAUACAAUAAUAUACAAAAAAAAAAUCAAUUUUUAUUUCUUACAAAAAUGUUUCAAAAUUGAUACAUUAUACACCCAAUAUGCAAUAUUAUAAAAAAAAAUUAUAAGAGAUAUUUAUACACCCAUAAAUAAUAAUAUACAAUAGGAAAAAUGGACAUAUAUACCUCCCGAACUUUCAUAAUGAUAUCUUAUUUGGGUUAUACUAUUGUAGUGUUAGAGACAUCCUAUAGUAUAUAUAGCACAUCCUUGUACAGAAGUAAAGCGGGCUACAUAAUAAUAAUAGUUGGGUUAUAUCUUCAGUGAUUUCAUAUGGUAUCGAUGCCAUGACAGGCGCCAAUUCCUCCAUCACCUCCGCUACUUCUUCACAAACAACCCUUAGCUAAUUAGCCUCUUUAUCUCCAUUAAACUUGCCUUGAAAAGCUACCUCUUUAGUCGCACACAACUAUAACCUUACAUUCAUCGUUUGAUCGUGCGAUAUGAAAUCAUUAUUUGAAAUCAUGAGAUGAAAUUAAAAUUUUAUUUGGACAUGCAAUUUGAACUUUUUAUGUUGUAUGUUUUCUCAUUAACAUAAAAAUCUCAUAAGUUGUAAAAUUAUUAAAAUUGUCUCAAUUCUUUAUACAAUCCUACCAAAUAAGCACAAGUUUAUAAAUUGCAUGAUACACUAUCGCAAAGAUAUUCUUAAAAAUACAAUAUUUGUUUAUCAAAUUUUAAUUCAAUAAAAAAUUAAAUUAAACAUAAUUUGUGGUGUACAAAUCUUUAAUAUAAUACAUCUAUAUAGUACGAACAAUCUUCUCACCAAACGAAUCAUUAAUAAGAAGUGCAUGAACUUUUUUUUAUUACAUUCACGAGAAGAAUCAUUUUUGUAAAAGUACUUUUUGAAAUAUAUAUAUUUUAAUAAAUUAAAUAUGAAAUGUCAGAAUUAUUUUUCUUUACUACCAAACACAUGCACAAUUUGCAUAUUGCAACAUUUUUUGGGUGACAUCAACAAUAAGUCAAAAUUUAUGAUGAGUCAAACAUAGCUUUUUGUUUGGUCUUGGUUGGAGGUAUUAAUAUGAUUUUUACUGUUGAGAAAUUAUUAGAAUGGGAUGGGCGGAUAGAGAAUGACGAGUGCCGUGACGUACCCUGACAAGGAAUGAUGAGAAUGACAAGUGCCGUGACGUACCCUGACAAGGAGUAUUAGGAGGGUCAAAUGAGCGAGUUGCUUUGAAAUUUGAAAUAUUUAAAUGGGUUGAAAUAAAAAUUGAAUUGAAUCUUGACUCGCUCAAGUUUACUUUGAGCUCAAAUGGGCUAAAAACUGGGUUGGGUCAUGACCCGCUUGAUCUCAAUAAUUUUAACAUGUUGUUAUUUAACUUUUAUAAUAACAAUUUAAAUUUCAACUCAAGAUUUUUUUUUUAAAAAGAUGUUAUAAAUGGAUAGUUAAAUCUAAAAUGAUAUAAACUAAAUUGUAAUUCAUACAUUCAAUAUAGAAAUAUACAUUACAUCAAUGCAAAUAAAGAAUCUUAAAACGAGUUGAAAUUAAAAAUUAAAUUGGAUCAAAUUAAGGAUUCUCUUAAAAUCACUUAAAAUUUGAAUGAGUUGAAAUUGAACUCAAUUCAAAUUAUUUUGAGUCUAACUCUUAAAAUUUUGGACGAAUUAAAUAGGUUACAUGUAAUUGAGCUCAUUUUUUACCCCCAAAAUUACCAUUUACUUUUCCCAAAACAUAUUUAAAAACUUUACUCUAAAAUUUUUUGUAAGUUGUGUUGUACUGUUGUACCAUUUAGCAGUCUUUGUAAAGUGAAUAGAGUACUUUAUCAUAAUUGGUGUCCCACUUUACCUUUUACCUUUUAGUCCAUUUGGAAAUGAAUACAACCAAACUACUUUACAACGGUCAUUUGUUAUAAUUACAUAUUUCAUUAUAUAACGGUCAUUAUAUUUCAUUAUAUAACGGUCAUUUGUUAUAAUUGUAUUUCAUUAUAAUAAUGUGUUAUUUUCUUCAUAAUCAAUUUUUAUAUUAUAUUUUAUUUCUCUACACUUUUUGUAAAAUUGUCUUUUUUAUAAUAACAAUAUAGAAAUAUUGUAAUAAUAAUUUAUAAGAAAUAUAUUAUGUAUAAAAUAAAAUAUUAAAAUAUUUAUGUCAAUCAUCACUAAUGUCAUGCACAUAGUAAAUUUCUAGCACAAAUAUCUAAAGGAAAAAAUGUAUUUAAAUGGUGCCCAUCAAUUAUGAUUUCAAAAGAAAAGGCUAUUGAUAUUUUCUUCUUUAUAUUUAUAUUUUUUCUAAUUUUACGUAUUCUUGUUUAUGAAAGCUAAAUGAGAUCUAAACGUCAAAUAUAAGUAUACAUAUAUAAAAACACAUCACUAUAUCAACUAUGAUAUUUUUUAGACAAACGUUGUCACAAGAGUGAGGCUUGAUUGUAUCACUUUUGUAUAAUUGAAAACUAUUUAAUUUUAAAAUUUUCAUUUUACCCAUAGUGAAAUGAUUAUUUUAUGAAUGCUAAUAAAAUAUUUUAGACAAAAAUUUAAAAAAAAUCCUUUUUUUUAAAUUUUAAAUUUUGUGUGAAAUCAAACUAUAUCACAUAAAUUGAAAUAGGAAGAGUAAUAUUUUCCCCCUUUCAAACUUUUACUUGAUUAAAAUUAUCUUUCAAGUGGAACAAGUAUUAUUCACUUUCAUCAAAUAGAAUUAAAUUAAAUUGCAAAUUAAAGGCAGAAUGGUGCUGGAGAUUCUUUGUCACGAUCCAAUUGAUCGGAUCAUGCAUGCACCUACUCUAACAUCUAGAUAAGAUAAUUCUUACCACCCAAUUUAAAAAUGGGCAAUGCAAAAAUCAAUAAAACAUAAGAAAGCUCUUUAAUAAUUGAAAUAGUCAUGAAAACUCCAGAUUUAAGGAUUACCUUUUCACAAAUAACCGAAAAAUUCCUCUCAAGGAACUAGUCUAAACAGGUACAACAUCUACUAAGAUAAACAAUGUAUAAAAGAAAAGAAGACACGCCUCUCACCAUAAGGAAAGAGAAGUAGAAGCUGUCGGAGAUUAUCAUUGUCUUAGGGGUAAGAUACUUUACUCAACCCUGCAACUAGACUACGCCAAGUGACAUAGCAAAAGUAGUAUAAGUACAAACAACACGUACGUAUAGGCAUUAUCGGUCGACCCGAAUCACUCACAUAAUUGAUAAUGCUCAAAUGUCCUCCUUAAAAUCAAUUAAAAGGGACAACAGUCGUAGUCAAUAAAUACCCAACGAAGAGUCGGGAUCGAAUCUCACAGGGAAUGGUAUAUCGUAGAGAAUUCUUAUAAGGAAAUUUGGAUUGUAAAAUUGCUCAUUUGUAAUAAAAAGACUUGGUUAUCAUUUGUCACAAUUAAACUAAAAUUUCGGAGAAUUUAAGAGUUAACAAGCAAUCUAGGGGUGCAGGGAUUGGAAAUUGAUGUCGCAUAGGGGCAAUUGUGUUGCUCUAUAGUAAUGAACAUCCAUGAAUAGGCUAGGUCAUCUUCAAUGAUGCUAAUCAUCUUUUGAUCUCAAAACAUCUACGGAUAGGAUCUUCUUUCGGUCUAAUCUAUAUGUCAAUCUAAACAACCCAAUACCUUACUUUAUUCUCUCUUUUGAUGCAAAAAUAGGGCAAAUAGAUUCGACCCGUAACCUCUAUUUUCAAGAAAGUUACAGACAUCAAACCUAAAUUUCUAGUAUUGGACUAAUUACCCACUCCAAUCAAUCUCUUUCGAGCAUCGAUCAAAGAUCAAAAGUAGGAAUUAAGUUUGCAACCUUAACCCAUAAAUUAACCCUAUGCUAAUUAGCCCAAAUUCAUGUAUGAACAACAACAAAGUAUAGCUUAACACAAUACCCACUACAUUAAAUCAACACCCAACCCCAUAAUUGCACCCCCUAGAUCUUGGGAUUUCAGCCAUCCAUCACAAAAAGCAAAUAAAAUAUACCUUUCAUGAAAGCAGUCAUGCGUAACAUGAAAUUAAACAAUUACAAGUAAAUCCACUUUGGAUUCAACUUCAAUUUGUCAAAUUCAAGAACAAAGUUGAAAAACCCCAAAAGCUAGAAAGUGUUCUUCACAAAGAUCAAGUGUUUUCUCUCAAAACCCUAAUAUUUCUCACUCUUUCUAAUCUCCAGAACUCUCUUCUUUUAUCUCUCCUUUGGGCUAUUUAUAGUUUCUCAAAAUUUGGCCCAAAAACCCAAUGCGCGUCUCAUUCGGUGACAUUAGUCCGCCUCACCGAGCCCCUUCGGCAAAUCGCCUCUUGUGCUUCAGUUUGCCUUGUCAUGCUUUAGACUUCAGGUGUUUGAACCUCAGUCAACGAACUCGUUUGAAUCUGCCUUUCACAUUCAGUGAAUCACCGAGUACCACCUUGGUUCGCCAUUUGAGCAUUUACUUUUCUCCUUGCACUGUCAUUUUCAGCGACGAUCAACAAGGUCACCUUUCUCGUUUGGCGAUCAACAAUACAUAGUUUGCAUUUCUUUUUGCAUUUUUGGUCAUUCUUUCAAACAUCAAUCAUUGCCUUGUCCAUUGGCCUUCACAGCUGCAAAUCAUCAACAUAUCAUCAAAAAAGGAUAAAAUUAGACAUUGAGGACACUAAUUAUUAAGCUAAAUAGACCUCAAAUGAGUGCAAAUCUACCACUCAUCAACACCCCCAACUUAAACUUUUGCUUGUCCUCAAGUAAAUCAAGAACACAAUUAGCUCAAUAAGGGUGUUUACAACAUUAUUCAAUGAGAGAUAACAAAAAAUUGACAUAACAAGUCUAGUCUCAAUAACAUGCUACACUAAAUCAUGAUAAAAAAACCUUCAGAUGAUGACUAGCCGGUUUCAACACAAGCUCAAGCUCACUUUAGCUUCUUGUCUAAUGCAAGACCAUGUUUCAAUAAAUGCAUUCAAGUGCCCUCACAUCAAGAAUAAUUUCAUGCUCUCACAAAGAAAAUAAACAAAGACAUAAGGAAUCUAUGCAACUCUCACUCUCUCUCAAAAGAGAAAUACAUGCGAGCUUCAUCCCAUAGGUUUGCCCAUAUUUUCCAAUCAUCACCCACAACCUAGUUCAUGCAAUAUCUCAAGGGUUUUUAGGGCUUGUAAUUGGGCUGAGGGUUAAGGUAUGGUCAAUUUGGCUCGGUGACUUCACCUUCUCAAAAAAUUGUUGCUAUCAUCUUCACCUCUUCUCAAUUUCUUUUCAUUCUUUUUCAUUUGAGAACUCAAAUUUUGACUUUUUCACUCAAUUUAUUUGGAAUCCCCUUUAUUUCACCACUUCCCUUUUUCAUUUCCAUUUUUCAAGAUGUUUUCACCACUAUGAUAAUUUUUUAUUUUUAAUUUAUAAGGAGGGGUUCCUUGUUUUUGUAACAAACUCCAAAGUUGAGUCCCAUUUCAUCUUUCUUUGCGCUUCACUUGGCUUUCAUUCCUCCUUCCUUUCCACACCCCAACUUAGGCUUUUAACUAAGUUGACUAUUUAAACAUAAAAAUGCUUCAAAAAGGAUUUUAGGUGAGAAGGUAGAGAUAAUUUGGCUCAAGAGGUUUUCUUUUGGUAUUUCCAACAAAUGGGUUAGGCUCAAAAGGUGUCAAAAUGGAUGCACACCCUCACAAGGUCAUCACAAAAGAUUAUGGACAUUUGGGUUCCCUUUAUGAAAUAUUGCCCAAGAUCACGCCUCGCAUUUAUCAAGAUUUAAAUAAUUAGACUAACAAGGUAAAUUCUAGGAUUCCACACACAUUCUUUCAAGUAAGACCUCACCACACAUGACACUUCAAAAUACACUCAUUUAGUACAUCCCAUAAGAUCAAAAGUUCAUGUGCGAUGUUCAUUGCAAGGCUCAUAUCAAAAUGUAGUUAGUCAACAAAAGAUUCAAAGAGAUUGCUCAAAAGCGCAACCACAUCGAUUUCAUUCUCGUAACACCAACAUUCUAUAUCAUGUUCAUCACGAGUACUAUUCAAGAUAUUGAUAUUGAACACAAUCGAUCCUCGAGUCAUUAUCAAUGAAAACUUCAAGUAUUUCACGAUUUUCAAAACUCAUGGGGGGUUGCAAAAUUAAGAGAGAACGAAAAAGACAAAAGAGAUCCACUCAACCAAAAGAAACACUAUAAUAUAAACAAAAGUAAACUAAUACAAUCAUCCAAAACUAAAAUUUACAAAAAAUACAAGCAAAAAGGGGACUAUUGGCUCAAAGGCUCUCACCCCACCAAAAAGAAACAAGCAGUGUCCUCAAUGCAAUGAAAAAAGAGAGUACGAGAGGCUGAUAUAGAAGGGUCCCCCUGACAGACUAAGCUAGUGGAGCACUCUCAUCUGGAGUCUCAAGAAGGGAAGCAUCAUCCGGGACAUCAAUACCCGAUAAUAGGAUCACUGGAGGCAGCGAUGGAGUUUCAACAGGGGCAACAAUACCCAUCAUAACACUCGGAGAAAUGUUAGAUUCUAAAAAGACUCAAAUCGUACCAACCAUUGAAGUCUCCCAAAGGGAUCUCUCCAGAAUAUCCUGAAUAAUGACCUCCUUAGUCUCCUGCAUCUUCGUAAGAGUCUGUGCAAUCCCAUGCUCCUCACUCGUCAAAUACUCGUCAUUCAUCUCCUCGGACAAAUCAUCCUCGGCCCUUUCAACAUCCACAUCUGCAUCAAUAUCAACACUCACAACAAUCUUAGGUUGCACACUAGGAGUAGGCUCACUACUAGACAUCUUUAGUGGCAUGGAGAUAGGUGCAUCUGGUAGGGGAACCUCGCCCCAUAGCAUCGAGAGGUUGGUAGACUACAACUGAGUCCUAUCCGCUAGCAAAGAAGCAAGCUCACUUCACAUGGUGUCUAGUGUACCAGAACUACCCUUGGCCUUCUCCUGAGCCUCUAAUCUAACGGUGAGGUUUUCCAACCUCACACCACGGUCCUUGAUCAGCCCCUCACACCUACUUUAACACCUAGAUAGGAGAACUCUUUCCACCCAAUUUAAAAAUGGCAAUGUAAAAAUUAAUAAAACAUAAGAAAGCUCUUUAAUAAUUGAAAUAGUCAAGAAAACUCCCGAUUUAAGGAUUAAAUUUUUACAAAUAACCAAAAAAUUCCUCCCAAGGAACUAGUCUAAAGUAGUACAAGAUCUACUAAGAGAAUACAAUGUAUAAAAAUAAAAAUAAAAACAACUCCCACCAUAAGGAAAGAAAAGUAGAAACUAUUGAAAAUCAUCAUCGUCUUCCUCUAAGAGACUUUAUUGAACCCUGCAGCCAGACUGUGCUAAGUGGCAUAACAAGAGUAAUAUCAGUACAAACAACACGUGCAGAUAGACAAUAUAAUUGGUCGACCCGAAUCACCCACAUAAUAUCAUGCACAAAAUCAAGAACAUGAAACUUAAAAAUACCAUUAGGACCCUCACAUUUCACCUCAAGUCACCCACCUUCUUACGUUGCCUACUCCAAACUCUAAGUUAUUGCACCCUCAUAUCAUAUCAUAACCUAACCCCUCUAUAACAUACGUCGUUAUUAACUCUACUACUUCAUUUACUAUUCCCCUCCGGUUCUCAAGCCAACUCAUUUCCUUACGAUACUCCAUUAAUAUGAGAAAUUAAUAGAUAAUAGAACUUAGCAAGCAUAUAUACACAUUCAUAAGCACAAUUAUAAAAUGCCCAAACUCCUAGUCCUCACCUCUAUGUAGCAUUCUCCACCCGUUAAAUUGAUACACCCAUAUUUACACUUUAAUUAAUAAGUGUGAAGUUGUCAUCAUCAAACAGAGAACCUAACUAGAUUGGGGUCGAAUCCAACCGGAAAUACGACAAAAACUAAGCCGUAUGCAGUUAUCUACUUUUAGUUACUUAUUUUGAAACAUAAUGAUAAAUAUGAGAAGUUUUUAAUUUUUAUUUAAAGAUCACUUUUUUCAAGAAAAAAUUAACAAUAUCACCUAAUCUAGAAUCAAUCAAAUAAAAUUAACCAGGAUUGUGUUCAUGAAGACUGUUUGACCAUAUUUCGGGUCAAUUACAUAACUUUAUCUUGUGCUGCUAGUAUAUAAUUUUACCAAAUUAUGUUACACAACUGUUUCUCAACCAAAUUAAAUGUAUAUCACUUUUAUUCUUUUGAACUAAAAGUAUUCACCAUCAUAUUGACAUAUAAGUUUUCAAGUUAGGUCAUCUUGCUUCAACAUUAAUCAUAGACGAGUCCAGAUCCUCAAAUUCUUAUUAUUAAUUCUUUUUUCAAGAUUUAGCCUUUUCACUCAAAUAAGUUAAACUUAAGACAAUUUCUAAUGUUUGCAACCAUUAAAAGUUAAUUAAGAUGAAAGAGAUAAUAAGAUAUACAAAUACAACAUGCGAAUCAUUCCAUAAGAAUAUUAUUUUUAGGUCAAGUCCUUGGUAGUGGGGUUUAGCCACUCAUUAUUAAUGUAAAAAAGAGUAGAAUUGCAUUAAUUUAGGAAGUAAUUACUUACAAGAGUUAAAGAUAAUCAACCUUUGAUUUCAUGAAACUCUCGUUCAAAUUCUUCUUAAGAAAAAAAUAUCGUGUUCUUUGAUAAAACAUAGAUACUAAAAUAAAACCCUAAAAAUAGUAUUUAUAGUUCUAGGAAAUUUGAAAUUUAAAAUAGAAAGCAUAAAUCAUGAGGCUUUUCUGACGCUGCAUCUGACAUUCCGCCACCUUGGCCGUCAUAUAACUUCUGAGAGUUGUAUAAUUCCUAUAGGUCUGACUAACUCUGACAACGCAUCCAAGGGUCUGAUGGUCUGUCACCUCCUUCAUCAGAAAACUUCAGAGAUUUUGGCCAAUUCCUACAGGUAUGGCUGUGCACCUGACAACCCGUCAUAGGCUUGGUGGUCCGUCAAGCUUGUCGUCAGAGCUCUCAUUCUGACACUUAGCUCCAUUUCACUUUUUUUCUUGCCUUGACUGAUUUCAUGUCCAACACAAUAGAAAACUAUCAAAAGACACCGUUGUUACUUAAGAACGUACAAUUUUUCCUAGUUAAAAGCAUUAGAUGUGCCAUCAAAUGCUGGCACAUCAACAUCCUCAACAUAGAACAUUUUCUUGUCCUUAAGCAAUACCCAAUACUACUUUUACAAACACAAUGACUAUCGACAUAUGCAACAGUUUCAAACCUUCUUUAAUCAGGAAUGAACUAGUGUAUUAGCUAAUACAUCAACUCAAAAGGAUCUAGAAAUCACAUAUGGGAAUAAACAAGCAACUUAUCAUACAUCCUUGAUAAUCAAUAAUCAACGGUGCAAUCAUAGUUCCCUUGCCACAAAGAAGUCUCUGUCACUCUCAUGAAAAGAUCUAUUUGCGAGAGACAAUACAAAAUGCUCACACUCAGAGUAAAAUUCAAGCAAUGCACACACAACAAAUAUGAUUGCCCAUAUUAUUUUUCACACCAACUUCAUAGACAAAUGGCUAUGAUCACUAUAGGACUUUUUCGGUUUGUAAUGUAGACUCAGGGUAAAGGUAGGAUACAUUUGGGAGUAGUGAUGAUGCCCUCCUUGCUACCAUCUUCACCAUUUUUUUCCUUUAGCCACCCUUGUUUCUCCCUUUCUACUUAUCAGAUUCAGAUCCUUUGGAUGUGGCUUUUCAUUUUAUUCUUCUUUUUUUAACUCAUUAUGACACGCCAUAUCCUCAAGUUCUGAUUAUUAUCAACAUAUCUUUAUUUAUACCACAUUGUCCAUUUACUUUACUCAUGGUAUCCACCCUCAACUUAGGCAUUUUGCAUGAGCCAAGGUACAUGAUGUCCAAGGAGGGACAAAGGCCAAAGAAGAAGUUUCAAAAUGAAUGGGGAGGGUAAAUAGGUUCACAACAAGGAGGUUUUCAUUUAGGCUCAAACUUUGGGAUCAAAGGGUACCCUUAUUUAUUUAGUUGGUCUUUUAGACUGAAUGUGUUGUUAUACAAAAACGUCAUAUGAUACUUGUAGACACCCAAUUUUGGGUCUCCGCAUUUUGUUUAACUAAAGUUUUAAUAAUAAUAAUAAUAAUAAUAAAAUAAAAAUAAUGAAAUAUAUAUAUGUUACGAAAUUGUAGGAAUACGAAAAGAUUUUUAAUUAUUAUUUACUUUAUUUAAUAAAUUUAUUUCAUAAAUACUAUUUUUUAUAAAGAUUAUAUAUAUUAUAUAAAUAUUACUACUUUCUCAUUUUUAGAUUUCACAUCAAAUGAAUAUUUUUCUUAAGGGUUAGCUCAAUUUUUCCAAUUAAAUAUAAUUUCUAUUAUUGUGAUGAAUAUUUUUUUUGACAUUUUUAAAAUUAGGAAGGCUUAAUUAAUUAUUUAGUUACUAGUUUAUAUUAAAAAAAAUUUCAAAUGACUAAUUUUAUCAAAUAAGUUAGUUUUGUAAAAUUAUUAUUGUUAAUUUAAUAAAUUAUGGCUAUUUAAUAAAGAAAAGGUUAUAAUUUAAAUAAAUUUAAUUUGAACAAAAACUUGGCAAUCCAAGUAUUUUAAUUCGGCCAAUCCACGCGUGCCACAUAAGAAGCACAUGGAUUGUGCUUCUUCAUAUUCGAUCUCAACCGUCCGAUUUGAUCUAAGGGCCCAAUUUAAUUCAGUAUUUAUAUAUAUAUUUAUUUAUUUAUUUAUUUAACUCUUGAUUAAUUUUGACCGUCCGAUCAAACGGCCCAAAAUAACCAAGACUUUUUAGCCUUCCCAAAAUAGACUCCACUGCCCCUACGCUUUUCUUCUCAGAGAUCACGUUCACCCUCCCCUUUCAUCUUCCCCAAAGAUCACCUCAACAAUCUUUCUUUUUCCAGAAAUCGGAAGCUCCAGGCUCCUCUUCCAUGGCCUCCCCCACGUGAUCCCCCAUCUCCCUGUCAGAGAAUCGGCUCUGCAUCGUCGGAAAAAUGUCCAUCAGUCACUCAACCUGAAAAGGUCGAUUUUUUUCUUCCCCUUCAUGAUUUCUUUGUUGUUUCCUCUAAGAGUCACGCUUCCAAGAAUUCAAAUUUUGAAUUCUUGGAGCCCAAAUCGACUAUAAAAGGAGGACUUAGGGUCUCAACAAAAGAUCCAGGAAACAAACAAGAAAAUCCAAUAAUCGAUUGAGAAUCACAAAAUAGCUCUACUUAUUUUUUUGUACUUCUCUGCUUUUGUUUUUGCUUUAGAGUUUUAAUUUGGAAGUCGAAAUCCUUGACGUCAAAGCUUCUGUUUGCUGCUCCACACAAGGUCAGUAAUCAUCCUCGUCUUACUUUUUGUUGUCGGUUUCUAGUAAUAAGAAUAUAAUUUUGUGUCGUUAUCUCGAUUAUGCCCAUAUAAAUUUGUUCAGUUAUAAAAAUGUUUAGUAAAGAUUAGUGUCAAUGAGAGGGACUUUUGAUUUGCCAAUCCGAUUAUGUGCGUGUUUUAUUUCUCUAAAUGUAAAUGCUGCCUCUUAGACGUAUUUUGUACACAUAGACUAAUUUCAGGCAGUAAAUUUAAGUCGAAUCACUAUUUUUGUCAUCUAUAUAAUUGAAAUCGGUUCACUAUUCUUGUUUGAAAUUUUUACAUGUACAUGUAACUAAGAGUGUAAUGUUAUGAGAUUAAAGGUUGAGUUGAGGAGUUUUCUCUUUGUUUGAACUUAGCUACCACAGUUACGAUUUGGUUAAUAAAUCAGUCCCAUGUGAAUAAAAAGCAAUGUGGUUCUGCCUAAGGAAUGUUGUUAAUGUUAAAAGAAAAAGAAAACGUAUUAACAGACCUAGUGGUUUAAUGAUUUAUGUACUGAUUUGGUAUGCUUGUGUUAUAAGUUCAACCUAUCCUUGUACAUUUGUAGUCUUCAUUAUUUAACUGAGAGUAAAUAGCAAAAUCCCUGUUUGCUUUCUGCCUAAUGUAGAAUAGUAUUUUCUUGCUUAAUAUAGACCAACGAGCUUUUCGAACGUCAGUUACCUGUUAGAAUCCCUUUAUCAAUAAGAAUAUUCAAGCCUAUCUCGCUAUGAUCCUCGCUAAAACUUUGUGCGCUUUCAAUUCGAUGUACGAUAAUAUAUGGGAUGGAUGAUAGUUUAUCUAUGUUUAUUACUCGUUGUUACAAACUGUUCUUUUCCUGAAAGCAAUAUGAGAAGAUCUUUAAAAAAUUGAAAUUUUGAACCUCUAAGGAAAAGUCGUUGAUGUAUGUAAAGCUUGAAUCAAUUGACAUUCAUAAAUGAGAAAAAUAUUUCGUCAUGUGAAAUGCAUCAUCGGAUUUGUUUAAAUACUCUUAUUUUUUAUUUAUUUUUGAUAACUAGAUGUUGAAGGUUUGAAUCAGUAAGUUUUUCUGAAGGUUUCUACCAUUCCCCGAACUUGAAUGCAGCCUUUCGUUUCGGUUGACUCUAAAUGCCGCGUUUUGGGUUACACUUUAAAAUGUAAAUAUCAUGUUUAAGUCUUCACAUUUUUAGUGCCUGUAAAGUGGAUGCUAUCUCCCUUGUCUCUAAAUUCUAGAAUCUCGACUAAGUUAUGCACAUUUUUUGUUUGCCCAGUAGCAUGUUACCUUUUGUUAUCGUUUUGCUUUGAAUCUAUCAGAUUGUUCUUAAUAUAAAUUAAUUCCUAAAUAACUAAAUCGGCUACCCGACACUCUGCCCCUGUUUGUUUUGGGACUUCUAAUGUUAAGAAUAAAGGAAAGAAUUUUAUUUCUUGCUCAACACAUGUGAUAUAGCUCAUUACCAAUAGCUUUUCUUUGCCUAUUUGGUGUAUUUUUCAGUUAGUAUUGGCUUUGUUUCGUUGUCCAGCGAGACUCUUCACGGCAAUUUUCUUAGACAUUAAUGAUGAGCAUGUCUAAGUUAUGCAAGUUACAGACUGUUUAAGUAGCUGAAUAUAGGCUAGAACAUGAACAAAAUUUAUGAAUGUGAUUGCCUCCUUCUCUGUUUUGGGUUAAAGUGCACCAUUGUUGAGAGUUUAAGAGUGGUAUAUUGAGUCCCAAAAAUGCAGCGUUUUGAGCUGAAAAAAGUGCAGUGUUUUGAUCCCAAAAAGUAUAGCGUUUUGAGCUCAAAAGAGUGCCGAAUUUGAGCACAAAAAUGCAGAUUUUUAGCUUAAAAAACUGCACCUUUAACAAGCUUUACAAAGCAGAUUUUUUUUUAAGUUUAAAAAAUUAUUUUGCAUAACUUAAAGUAUAGAUUUUUUUGAACUAACCGUUAUUCUUCGUGAUUUUAAAAGUACAAUAGUUUAAGGUCCAAAGGUGCUUUAAACAUUACUUUCGAAAGGAAGAAGAACAUCAUUUUAAAAGCCGAAAAUGGAUACUAUAAGUUGUGCUAGAAUUGUUACCCCGUUUUUCUAGUCUUUGAAAGUUUAUCUUAAGGGAUAGGAAAACUCAUCAUUUAAAACUCCCAAAUAAAUUUGAAACUAGCUUAGAGGCUAAAGCAAUUACCCUAUAGAAAUAUUUUUAAGGCUAAUAUAUUUACCUUUAGAAAUACCCUUUUUUUUUUAAAGAAAAACAAGUAAGAAAGUAGGCUCAUAUAUCUAACAAAAUAAAUAUAACUAUAGAAUAAGUCCCAAUAAUUAGGCCCACUUUAUAUUCUUUUGAAAUCACCCCUUUAUGAAAAAUAUAUUUGUUAUUGUCAUCGAAUAUUACUAAAACAUUUUAAUUUCUUAACAUGCUAUUUCAAGAUUUUAGAUAUGCUAACAGGUUCGAAAUACAAGGUACAUACAUAUAUAUGUCAUACGCAAAAAGGUACAAAUCCUAUAUUUUUUUAGUUUUCUCUAUACGUAACUCAUUAUUUUGUUACACUUCAUAUUAUUUUUUCUCAUAUCUACUAUCUCUUUUACUAAUAUUAUUUAUUUUAUUUUAUAAUUUAUAAAUCCCCUACACUUAAAAUAUACAUAUUACUUUACUACAUAUAAUCUAUCGUCAAUUUUCCUAUACGUGUAAAUAAAUAAAAAGUGUUCAUAUGUUUUAAACAAUUUACUUGUAUAUACUACACUUUAUAAUAAACAUAUUUAAGAUCACAAACUUUUAUGUAAUAUUUUAACAUUUAGUAUUAUUAUUAUUUAUUUCAUUUAACCUCAUUUUUCACACAUACUACUAUACAUUUAAACCCGACUAUAAUUUUAUUUUUUACGUCUUAAUUCUAUAUAUAAAUAAAUGACAAAUUUUCAUAUUCUUUAAACUCAACAUUUAUUUUGGAUACAUUUAUAUAAGACACAUCUCUAUUUUUCAACAUAUAAAAUUAUCAUACACUUUAGUACAUUUAUUUAUUUAUGAUAAACAUACUACUAUUUAUUUUAUAGACAUAUAUACGUUGUAUCUUGUAUUUUACUCUUUUCUUAAAAUAAUAAAUUUUACUUACCAUUGAUUUUUUAAAGAAAAAAAUAAAUAAACAAGUUUUCCUAAUCAUAUUUUCCUAAAUUGAGUUUAAGGACUAUCUUCGGAUAGCCUCUGAGGGAUGCUUAACACCUUCCUCUCGAGUAACCAAAACCCUUACUCAGAAUCUUACAUAUUUAAAAAAUGGUUUUUCUAAUAUUUUUCCUUUAAAAUUAGGUGGCGACUCUAAAACAAAAACAAUUUGUUUUCAAAAUCAGAGUGUCAACCAUAUUAUGUUGUGAACUGUUUCAGCUGGUUCGAAAUAGGGGUGCGCUUGGCGACUCUGCUGGGGACUUACUUAGGUUUUAACCUUAGAAAACUUAAUUUAGAAAUAAUACUUGUGAUUACUUGUUUAUUUUUUCUUGUUUGUUUUACCGAAUUGGUAUAUUAUUUUGACUGUAAGGCCGCAAGUGAAAUCCAAGCUUCUGUUCCUUAUUUGUUUUAAAACACUACUUGUUACUGUUUUUUCUACACUGUCAUUUGUACAUUCAAUUGAGUCUUUGGCCAUACACACACACACUGUACACACGAGGGGUGUUUCUUCACUCCUCCGAAACUCUCUUUGGAUUCCUUAGUUUCAGAGUUGUUGCAAUUAAGAUAGUGCACCUUCUCACAAUUACUCACUCCCACUCUCAAUCAUCUAGGAAAAAAUCUUACUCUUAAAAUAGGUCAUGUUGUAUAGACUUAGGCAAGACAAUAUACGGUAUUGUCGUUGCGUUUAGGAAACCACCCAAAUGUCAAUGAGUUUCUUCUUUAAAAUUCGACGACAUAAACUUUGUGUGAAAUUGAUGUAAAUUAUCCGACCUUAAACACUUAACGAAUUUGGAGCAAAUAAACUCAUUACACCCUUUACCCUCUUUUCAGAUGAACCUCAACCAAGACUUGUCAAAUAUCCAAAUGGUCUUUCAGCGCCCCGCAUUCUACAAAAUUGGUGGCAAAAUAUCCGGAGGAUACACGGGGCUGAGAUUUGAAGGCACUUAGGAGCAUUAUUGUCACUUCUGGGGACACAGUGCGAUACGGUUUUUGUCUCUCAGUUAAUAGGGUUUUGGGAACCGAGCACUGUAACUUUCAAAUUCCUAGAUUUUGAGAUCACUCCUACACUAGAGGAGUUCAGUAGUCUUACCAAGCUACCGAUUAGAGGGAGGCUAUCGAUGAUCCCGUCAGCUAUCUGUACUGGUGAUUUUCUAAGUCUCUUUGAUCUACAUAUAUUUCGGUCAUUGAGAUAUGUGGACGACAUACAGGUCGAGUUAGACUAUCUCUUUCAGAGGUUUGGGCGUUCAGAAGGUUACUAUGAAUAUUAACGUGAAUUUGAAUGUACUUGAGGAGCAUGGGAACAUAUGAGGCCAAGAGUAUUCGUUAUGGAUUUCUUGGGAGUUAUGGUGUUCCCAAUAAGGUCCAAUUCUGUCGAUAUCAACAUAUUACCGAUGGUUAUAAACAUCUUCAACAUCCACAAAGAUUUUCUUUGGUGCCCAUGAUCAUCGCCGAAGUUCUUCGUUCGAUGACAGCCUGCAUUAGGGGGCACAACUUCUUCGGGGGAUGCAGUAUGCUACUACCAAUUUGGGCGAGAGAACAUGUUUAUUGUCGUGAUCCACAAAUGGAUUUCUACAUGGGUGCACGUAACAGGAUCGAAAACCAUGAAGAUCGUCUCCAAAAUUGGGUGGGCGCACCGACAGGAAGGGAAGAGUGGCACAUAUUCCUGAAAAACCUUACAGGAGAUGCCAUCCAAUGGAAGUUUUCUUGGAUAAGAGGAGUGGCGUUUGCGAGAACCCGAUAUUUUUUCUUUAUUGAGUUAAUUGGGCUGAGGGCUAUUCAGCCAUAUGCACCUCUUCGGGUUAUGCGGCAAUUUGGAGUCAUCCAAGACAUUCUGCUAUGGUCAAUCAUGGGGUCACAUGAAGAUACUUUCACUUCAGUCUCGUUGGAACGGAUAAGAAAUCUGCAAGCCGAGUGGGAAUACACGAUCGAUUUGGAAAUAGGAAAGGAAAAAUGGUGCACGCCAGAGUAUUAUGCUUGGCGGAAUACUGUGAGUCAUAUGGCUCAUCCAAGCGUACACGGGCAUUGGGGGUUUAUAGACAACCACCAGAUUGAUUGGAUUAGAGAAUCAGUGUUUCCUCACAUGGGAUACACCAUAUCUAUGUAUAAUCAGAUUGUUACUGGAUCCAUCGAUUAUUUGAUCCAGGUGAUUGAAGAAGAAGAAGAAGAAGACCCGAAAGAGGAUCUUGAAGAAGACUCGAAAGAGGACCCUGAAGAAGACCCAGAAGAGGGAUGCCGAAGAAGACCCAAAAGAAGAGGUGGAGGAAGACCACAUAGAGGUUUCUAAAACGGGUUCUAACAUCUAUGACCCAAGAUAUGGAGGGGUGAUAGACAUGUCUCCCGAACGCGGCCCCGACGAGUCUCCAGAGUACCACCUAGGGCCAUAUUAUGAUGGGGACAAUGAUGAUGAUGAUGCUCCAACUUGGCCGUAGAUUCGUCUCUAUUCUUUGAACUGUUUUCAUAAGCUCCUCAAAGUGCCAUGUGGCCUAUCCCUCUUGUAUGCCUUAUGCCCCCCCGUAUUUUCAGUUCUUAGGUUUCUGAUUGCCUACCUCAAUGUAACAUCCAAGAGUACCUUAAUCAAUGAAGUUAUGUUUGCUCCAAAUCUAAAAUGUGUUUAAAUGGAUAAUUUAUUAUCAAACUGAUUGCAACGUUGGCCUACCUCAGGCAAAAAUAGGUUCUACAUUAGGACGCAUUUUGAAUGUCGCCAAGUUGGCGUAUAUAUGUGUUACACUUAUAUAUUUGUUACAUCUUUCAAUAUUUUCCAAACUAACAUAGUUUCCUUUUUUCUUUUAUUUUUCAUCAUUUAUCCCCAAAAGUACGUUGAUUUGUGUCGACUUGCAAACUGGCUGACUCACGAUACAACCUUCGAUCAAAAGGAAAGAUGCUGAUAAAGACGACUUCAAUGCUGCUGCAAACAAAAUGAUACCUAUUGAUAACCCCGAAGGUUCUCGAAACAUGAUAGACAUCCAAAAUGAAGGGAAAAUGGCUCACAUGGAGCAAGAACUUGAGAUCUUGAGGGAAGAACUACGCCAAGUGCGAGACUUGGCCAAACUUUCGGCUACCACUUUCCCUACUUUCAAGAUGCCUAUCUACUUCGCAAAAGCUGACUUGCCUUUUGCCGACUUGCCAAAUCAGCCAGAACAAACUCAACACGCUCUAAUUCACGGUCGAGUUCCACCAGCUUCUCCAACCGCAGUUAGGACCGUUCCCGACCUUUCCAAUCGCGACCCUACUAUACCAACAAUGCAACAGAUACUUGGGGCACAUGUCGCCACUCCCUAUGAGCCAUAUGUUCCACCUGUAUAUGCCGCUGAAGCUCCUACCUUCACAAUGCCAGCAGUGGUUAAUGUCCCGUAUGAGGUCGAUCAAUAUGCAGAAAUGGAGAAAGAAGAUGCAUCGAUAAAUGCCAGCUUCAGGGUGUAAGAAAGGCAUUAAAAAGCCUACAAGUUACUAGAGGAACGGAGAGUCUGGAUUAUGAUGACUUGUGCAUCCACCUAGACGUUGACAUGCCGGUAGGGUACAAACCACCGAAGUUUGACAUGUUCGAUGGAAAAGGUGACCUUCACGCACAUUUAAGGGCAUACUGUGACAAGUUAGUCAGUGUAGGGAGGAAUAAGAAGCUGUGGAUGAAGUUGUUCAUCUGGAGUCUGUCUGGGGAAUCAUUAACCUGGUAUACUCGUCAAGACCCUCGCAAAUGGCGUGACUGGCAGGAAAUGGCUGAAGACUUCAUGAAUCGUUUCAGAUUCAAUAUUGAAAUUACUGUUGACAGAUUCUCAUUGGCCAACAAACAAAAGAAGCCAUCCUAGAAUUUCCAGGAGUACACACGACGUUGGAGAACCGAAGCCGCAAGGGUGCAACCACCACUAAAUGAGAGUGAGCUUUCAAAGUACUUAAUUCGAGCUUAAGAAGGUGUCUACUUUGAAAAGAUGAUGUCAAUGAUAGGCCAGAAGUUUGCAGAAUUGGUCAAGAUGGGAGACUUUAUAGAGGAGGGUGUUAAAUCUGGGAAGAUUUAGUCUAUGGUCACAUUGAAAGCUGCAAGUAGGGCUAUACAAUCGGGUUCCAUUGGUGGGAUCAAAAAGAAAAGGGAGGAUGUUUCAGCUGUCACAUACCAACAAGGAGGACGAUCCCACCGAUACUGCAGUAAUCCCCAAAUCGCUACGCAUACUUCAUACGUCCCAUACCCAGUAUAUAAUACCCAACCACACUAUAAUCCACCCCAAGCACCAGCAUACCAAAAUCCUCCAAGACCAUAUGUCCCUGUCCAAGCACCAAUCCACCAAAAUAGACCAACAUAUGCACUGAGACCACGUCCAAAUCUUGAAGCUAGAAAUGCUCUUACUUACACACUGAUUGCCGAACCCUAUGCCCAUUUGUUCGAGAAGUUGAGGACAGCGGGAGUGCUGCAACCAGUUGAAGGAAAACUUCCUGAUCCAAUCCCUCGUAAUUUUGAUGGAAAUAAGAGAUGCGCUUACCACUCAGGAAUCCAAGGACACAACACAAAAGAUUGUUAUGGUUUGAAGAACUAGAUUGAGUCUUUGAUCAGAAGAGGAGUAAUCAAAUGCACUCCAGCGCCUCCCAAUGUGAACAACAAUCCCUUGCCAAACCAUGAGUAUCGGAAAGUCAACAUGGUUACUCUAGAUAAAGAAUAUGGGGCCCCUGACUGCCCAUACAUAGAUGAAGCAGAUGCCAUGACAUCUUCGGCGCAACCUGUUAUCACUGUUCAACUAAGGGAACCUUUGACUGUCCAAACAUAUCUCCCAAGAGUUGUAGUGACCACUCUGAUCGCUAAAAAGCCUAAAUAUGACACCAAAGCGGUCCCAUGGGACUAUCAAGCACGGGCCAAGGGCAAGAUGAUUGACACUACCAUGGCUCAAGGGAUGACUAGGUCAGGGAGGUUUUAUGCCUAGAGGACCUAAUCAAAGAGUUCUUGGAAAAGAAGAGAAUCUAAGGAGGAAUGUUACUGAUGCUGAAGCCGCAUAAUUUUGGAAGAAGAUGCAGCCUAAAGACUAUUCAGUCGAAGAGCAGCUGAAGAAGACGCCUGCCCACAUAUCUAUUUUGUCUCUACUUAUGAGUUCUGAAGCUCAUAGGAAUGCUUUGAUGGAAGUGUUAGACAUAGUGAAUAUUCCAAAAUAGACCACCAGUGAAACCUUAGCUUCAAUGAUUGGAAGAAUAGUGGAAGCUAAGAAGAUUUCUUUCCAUGAUGAUGAGCUGCCUGCAGAAGGGGCUGGGCACAACAAAUUGCUUCACAUCGCAGUCAAGUGUUGUGAUAAGGUGGUGACUCGAGUUCUAAUUGAUGGUGUUUCUGGAUGCAAUAUUUUUCCUUUUACCACUUUGAGGGAUUUAGGUGUUAAUAUGGGAGAGAUAAAGGAAAGUCCUGUGAAAGUUAUAGCUUUUGAUGGAGCGCAGAGAAGUGUCAUUGGAGAGAUCUAUCUCAGAUUGCAAGUGGGGCCAUCUCAAUUCCCCAUCCUAUUUCAAGUGAUGUAUGUAUCAUCCAACUACAACCUAUUGUUGGGAAGACCAUGGGUUCACAUGGCAAGAGCGGUUCCUUCCACUCUUCACCAAUGUGUAAAGUUUGAGUGGGGUCGCACUGAAGUUACCAUCCACGGGAGCUCAGUCACCCCAUCCUUUCUGUUAAUUCUAUCCCAGUCGUUGACGAGUUAGACGGAGCCACCUUUCACACUUUGGAAAUUAUGCAAGCUAUAAGGGUCGGUGAGGAAGCAGUUAUAGGUAAUACAAAGUUGUCAAGUGCAGCGAAAAUGGUUGCGUCAGAGAUGUUGAAGUAUGGAUAUCAGCCUGUCUUGAUCACUCUCUUCUUCUCUUUGACGCUGCUCUACUAACAUUUUGAAUGUAAAGUCCAUCUCUCUGAUGUCAGUCUCUCUUGUGUGCCAAGCGAUGUUGUUCUUUGAAACCUUAUCUAAAUAGUUGCAGCCUCUGAAAAAGUUUUGGACAUAAAAGACCCUCCACAAACUGCAUCAAUAAUAUGCUUGGUUACAAAAGUGCACUAUCUACAGAAAAGCUCCAUCAGAUGAUCGUCUAUUUGCUUAUGAUUUGGGUACUACUUAACCUUUUGGCUAAAUCUUAACCAAGUGUCAACGCUUUAGUAGUUAGCUGCUCGUGACUGUCACACCUCUUCCAUUUUUACAAUCGUUAAGGAUGUGACGUGUUUUUUUAAAAAAUAAAGUAAAAUAAUAUUUUUUUUGAGUCGCCACUUGAAAUUGAGUUUUUCAGGUGUUCCAAGUCACAUGGUAAUUCCUAAUUUAAAAGGAAAAGACUCUUUAUUUUUAGUGUACGAAAACAGAGAUUGGGUAAGGAAUUCUAUUGACCAGAGGGAAGGCGUGAGGCACCCCCCGAGUCCCGUGGUUCUAGCACGGUCUCUUUAUUAACUCAUGUUUGGCUAAAAUAAUUUUUGGAUAAAAAAAGUAAAUUUGUGUUAGAUACUUUUUAAAAAAAAAUGAUUGGCCUAGGAGUGUAAGCGCACAAAAGACCUUUUUUUUAGAAAGAAAACACACACACCAAAUAUCGUAAACAAACACAUGGUGGUAUUUAAUAUUUUUAUUUUAUUUUUAAAAAGACUGAUAAUUAAUGACUCAAAUUUUAUUUAAUAAUGAGAAAAAAAAACUUGUUGGAACAUAUGGACAUGAAAAUGCUUCUUUUUUUUUAGUUUUUUUUUUAAAAAAGAAAUAUAUAUAUAUAUACACACACACACAUGUAAGUAUUACUACUUGACAAUAACAACAAAAAAAUAUUUUUUUUAAUAGAAUAAUGACUAAGUCCCCUUUUAAAAUAAAGUAGUGAUAUACUAAUUUUUUCAUAUUGAUACAAUUUCAGAAAUAACCAUUUUAGUGAAAUUUUCAGUUUUACACAAAAUGACCUCAUUGUUCUCUUUUAAAAAAAAAUUGCAAUUAUAGCCAAUUUAUCUAAUAGUUAAAUUACUAACCAAAAGUAGUCGAUUUUGCAUUUUUUGUUUCAAUAACUCAUUUCAUAUAUUUAUUCAAUAGAGAAAAAAAAUUCUAUACAUUCUUUUAAAAAGAAUUUACAAAAUGUCCAGAUUUAUAUUUUUUGCAAAAAUGACCAAUUUUGUGUUUUGUUUUUGCAAAUACAGCCUUUUUUUUAAAUGACCAGAAACUAAAAAAAAAACAAAAAACUUUGAGAUUAUUAUUAUUUUUUCUUUAGCAAAGCAUGAGUUUACUUAUCAAUUCUACGAUGAGGUAAAGUUAAACUAAUCACCACAUUAAUAAUAAAUAUAUAUGUAUAUAAUAAUAAAAUAUAAUCAUAUAAGAAUCACAAUAGACUUAACUAACUCAAAACAAACUUAAUACAAACAACUUAAUCAAAAUAUAAAAAGAACAUGAAGCAUUAAUUUAAGAUUACAUUGCGAAAUGUAAAAGAAAUAUCUAAAGUUGAUGACAAGCAAAUAGUGGAAGCAAAUUAGUUGAACCACAAACUCACACAAUGAUGAAAUAUAUUUUUUCUUUUUAGAAUAAGACUUUCACUCUCUUCUUAUAAUUUUUCUUCUUCUAAUUUGUUUCACUUCUUCUCUUUUUUCUUCUUCCUUUUCUCUUGUUUUUUUUCAAAAUAUAAAAAGAACAUGAAGCAUUAAUUUAAGAUUACAUUGCGAAAUGUAAAAGAAAUACCUAAAGUUGAUGACAAGCAAAUUAGUUGAACCACAAACUCACACAAUGAGGAAAUAUAUAUUUUUUCUUUUUAGAAGAAGACUUUCACUCUCUCUUCUUAUAAUUUUUUCCUCUUCUUCUCUUUUUUCUUCUUCCUUUUCUCUUGUUUUUUUUUCUUUACAAUGAAAGAAGAAUGGGGUUUAAAUAGGUGGUGAAUAUUAACACUCAUUCUUCUUGAAAACUUAAGAGCCAAUGCAUGCAUUGGACUCUUUGCCUUCCCAAGGUGCCACCCAAGAUGACCAAUAGAAUUUCUUCUUUUCCUUUUUCCAAGAUAAGAUUAAUUAACAAGACUUCAUUACCCUUUUAGAUGACCCAUUUCUUUUAUUUAUUAAUUGAAUAAUAGCUAAAUGGGCCAUCUAAAAAUUUAAAAUAGGCCCAAAAUGUUGAGCCAUUUGAUCAAGACCCAAAACCAAAAGAAAAAUCAGCCCACUAACACAAAAUUGAAACAUCUAAAUUAUGUUGAAUAUCAAACAUAACAAAUAAGGCAGAAAAUAAAAAUAAAAUUCUAGCAAAAACUUCAACAUUAUAAAACUUAAAGAACACUAACAAAAUAAUACAAAAUUCGGCACCAAAAUGAUUUAUAUGGUUAAUAAAGGUUGUGCUAGUGGCGAAUUCGGAUAGAGGAUGAGAGGGGAAAAAAUUGACAUAAAUUUUCGGGUGAAUGGGGAUCGCAGGAAAACUUCGCUGGAAAAUUUUUUGACGAAAUUUUAACAUAAAAUUUACAUCAAAAGAUAGCCCUUGAAGAACUCUAGAAAUUUAUGUAAAUUGUAUAGGAUGGGGAUGACCGAAACUUCAUAAAUCUAAAGAAAAAAGUGAAGAUUUGUGUUUGGUUUUUCUUAGAUCUACGGAGUAUGGCUACGGAAAAAGAUGAAUGAUUUACGGAUUUGUGUAGAGGAGGGUGAAAGGAAGAAAUAAUAAUUUUUUUGGAGAUUUUUCCGGUGAAACGGUGGUGGCUGCCGGCGAGGAUGGUGGUAGCAAGGGGAGAAAAUAAAAUAAAAUUAAAAUAAGGCCAAAAUUCUGAUUUUUGGGAGUUUUUUUAAAAUAUUUUUUGGUAGGGUCACAUAAGAGCCCUUGAAUCAAAAUGUUUUGAAUGAUUGAGAUUCAAUCUUGACCAUUGCUAUUGGACCGGGUCUAAAAUGGAUUGGGCUAUCAGAAUUGGGUCUAAAUCAGCCCAAUUCAAUCAAAAUUGGGUCAUUUGGGCCAAUAAAAAAAACAAUAGAAACAAAGACAAAAAUAUAUUAAAAAAAACAAAAUAUAAGAAAAGAACUUACUAUAUAUUGUAGGAGUAAAUUAAACACGUCAAAAAUUAGGUGUUCACAGCAUGCCCCUCUUUGCUUUGAAACAUGAAGAGUUUUCAAGCAAAGAAAGUGAACGGAGUGGCUAAUUUUUUACUAUUUCAAACUCCGUUGAAUCCAUUUUGAGAAAGAUGACCGAACCUUUCUUCAAAGGUUGCCUACAUAUCCUUGAUUAAAAGAAAAUCAGGUCAGUGUAGUUCGAGAAAAUUUGAUUGCCAAAACUAUCGGACAUUGUAGUCAAAAAAUUGCUUCUUAUUGCUUGUCAUCAUCUACUGUCUAUAGUUACAUAGAAAAAUCUAGAUAACUUUGUUUCUCUACAAUAUAGGAGCUACAAGAUCCCUACUUGAUGUGUUUUCUUAGUGUCUUCUCUUGAUCUUCGACUUGUUCUGUGCGUUAUCUCUGAGAUUGAUCUUGAUGCUCUCUUGGAGGCUUGUGGAUCAUUCUUAGGUGCAUGUUUUGACUUGAUUUGGCAAUUCAUACUCAAAACUCAAUAUCACAAAAUGAAGAACUCGAAUAGGAUGUGCUUCUUUCCGGAAAAGAAAGAGCAUGGGAUUUAGAUUGGUGCGUCUUGCACAUGAAUGAAAGACUGGUGCAUUUUGCACAUGAAUAAAGGAUGGGUGCAUAUUGCAUGAAAUUCAAAUUGGUGCGUAUUGCACAUGAAAGAAAGACUGGUGCGAUUUGCACAUGAAUAAAGGACAUAUUUGUAUUGCACGGAAUUCAGACUGGUGCGUAUUGCACAUGAAUAAAGGACAGAUGUGCAUUGCAUGAAAUUCAGUCUGAUACGUAUCGCACCUAAAUGAAAGACUAGUGCAUAUUGCACGAUGCUCUCGAAUUGAGAGGUAAGAAUGCGAAUAGCAUGAGAUGAAACAACAAACAUGUGAAGACUUUGGAGAAGUUCAUUUUUGUGAUGCUUCAGUUUUUACUUGUAGUCUUGCACUUUAUUUUGUUCCUGUGCUAAGCAAAAGAAAGAGAAAAUCAUUAGUUUAAAGUGGUGGUUGGUUUGUGGCCUUGAUGUUUUGAUGACUUGACCAUACUCCCGACUGAUUUCUCAAACUCUACUCCAAAUCCUUGGCUGAACAACCUCUUGAAGCUUCCUCUUUAUCGAUCCAGGGACCUUGAUCUUCUUAGUACUACCAAAUAUCAUGGUGCGACUGAUUUCCCAAAGAAUGAAUUUUCCUUUUGCAUUUUUUCCAUGACUUAAGAGAUCAUAUCGUAUUCCUUCACGAGUUUUUAGUGAAUAUCUGAGACGUUUUUAGCCCUUACUUGGUGGCAUGCCAACUCAGAUACUCAGCUUUAUUUUGGGGAAACCGAAGUAAGCUUUGCAAUCUUUUACCUUAUUUUGUCAAAAGAUUAUAACGAAAAGACUAGAAAAAUAUCAAACUUAAGAGUGUGAAACUUGGAUCAAGAAAGACUUAUACUUAACGAAAGAAAAUCCCUUUUGAGGAAAAUGAGAAAAAAAACUUAUCUGGAGGCAUAUGUCGACUUUAAGUGAACCAUGACAUGCACUUUGGACUUGACCCCUGAUCCAUUUGAGUUGUCUAGUUCUCAAAAUUUGAAUCAUUAACAAUUUAAAACUGAUCUAUGUAUCCUUCAUGCAGAGGUGUCAAGAAAUGGCGAUCUUUGCAGAUUUCUUCCAAUUAGUCAUUUUCAUGAUGUUCUCUCCUUUUAUCUUAGGGUUCCCGCAAGAAUUUUCACCGAUAAGAUCUUCUCUCUUGUUGUCUAAUGGUGCCUAUAAAGGUUUUCACCGAUGAGACUCUCUCAUCUUUUUUGACUUAACAAUGUUGUCUCUGAUGAUCAAUUGUCCGUGCAAGACACAUUAAAUCUAUCAUUCUUAGAGUUGGUCAAAAUGUCGGUUGCUAGAAUGGAAUCAUAAAUUGAAUUACAAUUUGACACUAUUCUAUGAAAAUAAAAUUAAAAAAAAUGCCCCAGUUUUCUAUAAAUACUGGAAUAUUGAUUUUUUUUUUGUAUGACCGAACCCCAAAGGGUUGCCUACGUAUCCUUUCGGAAUCAGUUCAAACGUAGUUCAAGUUUUCAAAUAGAGGAAUUUUGUUUUUUUUUUUGGUCUUUUUAUUUGUUCUUUUUUUUGGUUUUUUUUUAAAGGUGCAUUUGUUCUCCCAUAAACUUGUCGCAGUAUCUUAGAACACAUUAGAUGUAGUAUCUUUUGACUGCGUCCGCAUUAACAAUUAUGCCUGUGAUUUUUCCUUCCACAUUAGUAAAGUGUAAGGCUUCUUUGGACAACACUUCCUUGAUAAGAUGUGGACCUUGCCAAUUUGGGGCAAACUUUCCCUUGGCUUCUUCUUGGUGCGGGAGAAUGCACUUUAAGACCAGUUGACCUACUUCAAAGUGUCUUGGGUGCACCUUUUUCUUGUAUGCAUGAGCCAUUCGUUGCUAAUAAAGCUGAACAAAACAGACGGUCAUCAAUCGUUUCUCAUAUAUUAAUGUGAGCUGCUCUAGUCGGGUUUUGACCCAUUCAAUAUCCUCAAUUUCAGCCUCGACAAUAAUUCGAAGAGAUGGAAUUUCGUCUUCUGCUGGUCUCACAGCCUCAAUCCCAUACACCAACAAAUAAGGAGUUGCACCAAUCAAGGUGCGCACUAUUGUGCGAUAUCCCAAAAGUGCAAAAAGGAGAUUCUCAUGCCAUUGUCUGGUGCCUUGAAUUGCUCACAUACCUCCUACAUCAAAUUGCUAUUAAGGUUUGCAGCAUUAUCUGUGAUGAUAGUUCUUGGGAUAUCAAAACGACAAAUGAUGUUUGAAUGGAAAAAAUCCAUGACCGCCUUCUUAGUGAUUGCCUUGAAAGUGAUCGCCUUCACCCAUUUAGUAAAGUAAUCAAUUGCGACCAAAAUGAAUCGAUGCCCAUUAGAAGCUUUUGGCUCAAUUGGUCCGAUGACAUCCAUUCCCCAUGCAACAAAGGGCCAAGGAGCGGCCAUGGGGUGCAACUCUGAGGGAGAUGAAUGAAUGAGAUCACCAUGAAUUUGACAGUGAUGACAUUUUUUCACAAAGCGAAAGCAAUCCCGUUCCAUGGUAAGCCAAUAAUAUCCUGCUCGGAGUAUUUUUUUCGCAAGGACAUAUCCAUUCAUGUAUGGUCCACAUACCCCAGCAUGUAUUUCAUUCAUGAUCUUCUCAGCUUCUUCAGCAUCCACACAUCUCACCAAGUUUAGAUCUGGGGUUUGUUUAUAUAAAGCUUCCCCGCUAAAUAAGAAACCACUAGCCAGACGUCUAAUAGUUUUUUUUUGGCUUCCAUUGCCAUGUUCGGGACAUUUCCUUAUUUGCAAGAAAUUCUUGAUGUCUAGGUACCAUGGCUCACCAUCCGAUUCUGAUUCCACAGUGUUACAAUAGCCAUGUUGGUCCCGAACUUGAAUCUCCAAGGGAGUAAUGCAAGUGUUUCCAGUAUAUUGAAGCAUUGAGGCCAAAGUAGCCAAGGCAUCUUCCAACUCAUUAUGAAAUCUGGGGAUGUAUCUACUCGAUGGACCUAAACCUUUUGCUAAGAUCUUCCACGCAUUGUUUGUAUAGAAGACGCUUAAGGUCUCGAGUUUUCCAUUCGCCUUGAGCUUGCCGAAUAAGCAAAUCAGAAUCUCCCAACACAAUCAGUUCUUGCAUGCCCAAAUCUAUUGCCAUAUUUAGACCCAUGAUGCAAACUUCAUACUAUGUUGUGUUAUUUGUACAUAAGAAACGAAGUCGAGUUGUUGCAGGGUAAUGCUUCCUUAUGGGUGAUAUGAGAAUUGUCCCAAUCCCCUGUGCCUUUUUUGUUGAUUGCUCCAUCAAAGUAUAAUUGCCAGACCUUAUUAUCAUCUGGAUCUACUUCUUCAACUGAGUUAAUCCCUUCAUCUGGAAAAUAUGUUUCUAAUGAUUUAUAGUCGCCACGAGAUUCUCUGCCAAGUGGUCUGCCAAAGCUUGAGCUUUCAUUGUAGUUUGAGUGACAUAUGUAAUAUCAAAUUCAGUUAGCAAGAUUUGCCAUUUCGCGAGUCUGCCAGUUGGCAUUGGCUUCUGAAAGAUGUACUUCAAAGGAUCCAUCUUUGAUAUGAGGUGAGUUGUGUAGGACAAAAGGUAACGCCUUAACUAUUGAGCUGCCCAAGUUAGGGCGCAACAUGUCCUUUCCAAGAGGGUGUACUUGACCUCAUAACUAGUGAAUUUCUUGCUCAAGUAGUAGAUAGCUUGCUCCUUCUUGCGUGUGGAAUCGUGUUGACCGAGAACACACCCAAAGGAAUUAUCUGGCACUGAAAGAUAUAGAAAGAGAGGUCUAUCAGGUUCAGGCGGGACCAAUACGGGAGGGUUGGACAAUUACACCUUAAUUUUUUCAAAAGCUUGUUGACAAUCCUCCGUCCAUCUGACAGCAACAUCCUUUUUCAAAAGUCUGAAAAUGGGCUCACAAGUGGUUGUGAGUUGAGCAAUAAACAUGCUGAUGUAGUUCAACCUCCCAAGUAGACUCAUGACUUCAAUCUUAUUUUCGGGGGUGGCAAAUCUCGAAUGACUUUUAUUUUGGAAGGAUCCAAUUCGAUUUCCCUUCUACUGACAAUAAACCCAAAGCUUUCCAGAUGGAACUCCAAAUGCACAUUUUGCUGGAUUAAGCUUGAGAUUAUAUCUUCGCACUCUUUCAAAGAAUUUUCUCAGAUCUUGCACAUGGUAGCUUGUGUUUCAGACUUGAUGAUUAUGCCAUUGACGUAUACUUCAAUUUCUUUAUGCAUCAUAUCAUGAAACAUGGUGGUCACAACCCUCAUGUAAGUUGCCCCAGCAUUUUUAAGACCGAAUGACAUGACCCUGCAACAAUAAGUUCCCCAUGGAGUGGUGAAAGCAGUUUUCUCAGCGUCAUCUUCAUCAAUCAAGAUUUGAUGAUACCCCGCAUAACAGUCCACAAAAGAUUGAAUUUUGUGUUUGGCACAAUAAUCAACUAGAAUGUGGAUAUUGGGAAAUGGAAAGUUGUCUUUUGGACUAGCUUUGUUCAAAUCCUGAUAGUCAACACAAACUUUUAUCUUUCUAUCCUUUUUCGGCACAGGAACAACAUUUGACAACCAAGUAGUGUAACAAAUGUCUUGGAUCACACUUGCAUUUAGUUGUUUCAGGAUUUCUUCCUUGAUUUUUUCACUCACGUCUGAUUUGAAUCUCCUUCUUUUCUGUUGGACGGGUGGAAAAUCAAGAUGAGUGGGCAACUUAUGAACUAGUAAAUCGACACUCAAACCUGGCAUGUCAUCAUAGGACCAGGCAAACACAUCUUUGUAUUCAAACAAAAGUUGUAUUAUGGCAUCCCUAAUUUCCUGCUUGACAUGAAAGCUUAUUUUUAUUUCUUUGACUUCCUCUUUACUUCCUAAAUUGAUUGCUUCGGUUUCACUAAGAUUAGGCUUAGGUUUAUGCUCAAACUGUUCCAGUUCCCUAUUAAUUUCCCUAAAAGCCUCUUCUUCAUCAUAUUCAACCUCUUGACUCGGUGAUUCAAGAAUAAACAACUCUUUGAGAUCUGGGAGUGAAUUUCGUAUGCGUGUCUUGUUAUCAAAGCCGACAUUUUCAGAACUGAAAAAUGGAGAAUAAGAAUUAGGGGAGGGGAAAAGACAAAAUUUUACUAUGAAAAUGGAAUUUCAUUUCAUUGAAAUUAAAAAAAGGGAUAGAAAGGUUGAAAUUAAUACAAAACACUUUCAAAUUUUUGGAUCACAACUCUGACAACAACAAAAUACAAAAGAGUAGCAAUACAAACUACCAAUACUCCUUCCUUAUAGGGAAAGGAGUGGCCUCCCAAUUGUUUAGCUCAACACCUGAGCCUACGAGCUGCACAUUGACAUGACUUGUACCUUCACCAACUUGGACAAUGUUUACUUCACAAAAUAAUUGACUAAGAUCCUGAAUAACUUCUUCAAUGUCUUCAUGAGUAAAUGAAGCUUCCAUUUCUGGACCCUAAGGCUUGAUAAAGGAAUGAGAAAUAUGGGGAAUCGGUUGUGGAAGUGCCCAAUUAGUCCUUUUGUGGUUCUUAGCCUUAUCUCCAUAUCUCUCGCGUUGUUUGUAUUCGAGGCCAGAGGUGCCUUGGUUUCCUAAAAGAGUAAUGGGAUCCACAAUUCCUUGCGAACAUAGUCUAAAACCUUUACCAGGUUGAUAACCAUAUUUGAGCAUUGUCGUUGCUACCAUUGAAAAGGAAGAAAAGAGACAUGGUUGGAUGAUGGGGUCUCCUUUUUAAAGCGAUCAACUGAUACGGCCUUAAAAGACUGGUAAACAACGGAAUCACAUCAUUUUUUUGCCUCAAUGUAUGGAAUGGAUGGAUCUCUGUAAAUAGGUAAAUCAUCUUCCCCAUGCAUAAUGAUUUCCUGAUGGUCGUAUUCAGCCUUAACAACUUGAUGCAGAGUUGAUGGGACUACCCGAUCCAUGUGGAUCCGUGGCCUUCCCAAUAGAAAAUUAUAAUAUGUGUCCAUGUCCAUUACUUGGAACACAAUCAUAAAGUCCACCGGUCCAAUUGUCAUGUUUAACUUGAUUUCACCAAUGGUAUCCCGCUUUGAGCCGUCAUAAGCUCGAACAAAUACAUUGUUGGGGUGAAUUCUGUCAGGGUUGACUUUCAAGCUUUGCAGCGUAGAGAGAGGACAUAUGUCUACCGCUGAUCCCCCAUCUAUCAUGACCCUCUUUACAUAGUAACCAUCACAUUUCACUGUAAGAAACAAAGCUCUGUUGUGUCCAGCUCCCUCUACGGGUAACUCAUCAUCAAUGAAAGUGUUGGUGUUCGACUCAAAAGAUGUGCUUGGACAUUUUCUCUAACUGAUUUACCAUGGUCUCCUUCGAUACAUGUGCUUCAUUCAAAAUCUUAUUCAACACACGGUGAUGUUCUUCAGAGUGCAAGAGUAGAGACACCAGUGAAAUCUGUGUAGGGGUUUUCUUCAAUUGUUCCACAACAGAGUAAUCUGGAACCUUAAUAUUUUUUAGAAACUCUUCUUCUUCUUCCUCUGUAACUGCUUUCUUCAGUGGUACUUGGAUAUUUUGAGCCAUCUUCCCUUUUCUUAAUUCUUCUGGAGAAUAACAUCUUCCAGAGCGUGUCAGCCCUCCUGCUUCAUUAACCUCUUCAACAAUCUCCUUUCCUUGGUAAAACAUAGAGAUUUUUUUAUAGUUCUAAGGAACAACCUUUGAAUCAGUCACCGGAAGCUGCUGGGCGGGCUUAACAAAGCUAGGUUCUUUCAACUUUGCCAAGCAACUUUGGUUAUGUUGUGUUAAUGAAAAGUCUUUUGAUACAUACAACUUCGGCAUUCCCGCUUGAACUUGAAUCCCCUUCGAAACCCCCGGGACACACAAAACAUUGGUAUCAAGAUUGACACCUUCCACACUCAAAGAUGCGACUGGUUCUGAACUCUUUAACGACAUGUCUUCUUCCCCGAUCUUACUAAAUAGCUUUCCCAUUUUUCCAUGGAGUUUGUACUCAUGAUCAUCACAGAUCAUACCCACUAAAUUGUUUUGAGCUGGAAGUGGAUUAUUAGUUACAUUGGGAGUGUUUUGAUUAUCUGUCACAAUGACCACUCCCUGAUCGAUUAAUAUCUAUAUCUCCCCCUUCAAGGUCCAACAAUUAUCAGUGUUGUGUCCUGGGCCCCUGAAUGAUACUCGCAUUUUUCAUUGGCCUGGAAACCUGGAGCAGUUGGAUUCAGACGAUGUGGUGGGAUAGACCCAAUCAUUCUUAUCUUCCUCAACUUUUGAAACAAGCUGGAGUAUGACUCUCCCAAUGGAGUGAAUUUCCAUUUUUGUCCCUACUCUUGAAUAUAAUUUUGCGUAGGAGGAGGGUUGUAAGUGUUCUGAUAGGGUGGUCGUGGUGGCCGAUGGUUUCCUUGAGCUGGGGCCCGAAAAUAUGGGUGAUUGGGAGGAUGCACAUAUUGCUGAGCAUUGAAGACUGUGUAUGGAGAUGGAGAUACUGAAUAUUGAGGAACAUAAGGGUAGUAAUGUUGAGGAUAGCUAGAUUGUCCCUGAAUUAGCGACUAAGAACAAUCUGACUUCCUUUGAGCACCCCUUGACCCUGACACUAGCGAAGAAACUUCCUCUUUCCUUUUACGAUUUCCAAAAUUGCCUGAACCACCCUGGAUGGCCUGUGUGGUAGCUUUGAUUGCUGCCUGGCUCACGAUCCUUCCUAUUUUGAGACCACUUUUGACCAUUUCUCCCAUUUUGAUUGUUGUGUGAAACGGUCUUCCCAUUGCGGCUGUCAGGUGGUGGAAAUAGUCAGGAUCUUGAGCCUCUACGAAGAUAUCAACCAAUUCUUGCUCAUCUAAUGGUGGUUUGACCCGGGCUGCUUGUUCCCUCCAUUUGAUAGCAUACUCUCUGAAGCUUUCAUUUGGCUUCUUUCUCAUAUUAGAGAGUGUAUUGCAAUCUGACAUAAUGUCGACAUUGUAAUGAAAUUGUCUAACAAAAUUUUGAGCCAUAUCAUCCCAGAUGUGCUAGUGGGAGAUCUCUUGGUCUAUAAACCAUUCUGAGGCAACACCAGUCAGCCUCUCACCAAAAUAAGCCAUGAUUAGUUCCUCUUUACCCCCACUGCACCUCUAAGUUGAUUGCAGUAUCUCUUGAGGUAAGCUAUGGGAUCACCGUGCCCGUCAUACUUAUCAAACUUAGGGGUUUUGAAUCCAGGUGGCAGGUGGACAUUUGGGAAUAUACACAAGUCUUUGAACGCGACACUUUUUUGCCCUCCUACGAUUUCCAAAACUGCCUGAACCACCUUGAAUGGCUUGUGUGGUAGCUUUGAUUGCUGCCUGGCUCACGAUCCUUCCUAUUUUGAGACCACUUUUGACCAUUUCUCCCAUUUUGAUUGUUGUGUGAAACGGUCUUCCCAUUGCGGCUGUCAGGUGGUGGAAAUAGUCAGGAUCUUGAGCCUCUACGAAGAUAUCAACCAAUUCUUGCUCAUCUAAUGGUGGUUUGACCCGGGCUGCUUGUUCCCUCCAUUUGAUAGCAUACUCUCUGAAGCUUUCAUUUGGCUUCUUUCUCAUAUUAGAGAGUGUAUUGCAAUCUGACAUAAUGUCGACAUUGUAAUGAAAUUGUCUAACAAAAUUUUGAGCCAUAUCAUCCCAGAUGUGCUAGUGGGAGAUCUCUUGGUCUAUAAACCAUUCUGAGGCAACACCAGUCAGCCUCUCACCAAAAUAAGCCAUGAUUAGUUCCUCUUUACCCCCACUGCACCUCUAAGUUGAUUGCAGUAUCUCUUGAGGUAAGCUAUGGGAUCACCGUGCCCGUCAUACUUAUCAAACUUAGGGGUUUUGAAUCCAGGUGGCAGGUGGACAUUUGGGAAUAUACACAAGUCUUUGAACGCGACACUUUUUUGCCCUCCUAACCCUUGCAUACUUUUCAUGUGUUGCCUAAUGCUUUUCAUUUUUUUCAACAUUUCCUCUUGUUCUGAGCCUUGAGUGGGCCUCUCAACAUCAAUAGGGGAGCCAAAUUGUACAGAGUUAGGGUCCCUCGAAUGCUAUCCCAGGAGUAUAGUACUGCUCUGGAUGGGCGGUGAACUGUCCCUCUGGAGCUGAUCUCUGCGUCACAGUUGGUUGUGGGAGAGUAUAGACCGGUGCAACUAUCGUGACAAUAUGAUUAUUCCUGAAUGGAAUGCCUUGAGGGCGUGUUGUUGAUGGUCCGACCCCACAAUUAUCAAAUGGACCAUACCCUAGAGAGAAGAGAGGAUCUAAUAUCGAGAACUGAGAAGAUGAAGACCGGAUACUAGUGAUCUCAAGAAAACCAGGAAUGGACGUUGGUGGUUUUUGGCCGUUGGCCCAGGCUUGCCACAACUGUGCCAUAACAUGUCUCAAUGUCCGAUUUUCUUCAACAGUGGUUGGCUCUCUUAUCAUUGAAUCAACUGGAGUAUCCACCGGGUUCACCACAGUUUCAGUAUUGGUUGUCAUUGACGCUCUUACCUUAGACCUGGUAAAGUACGGGUGUUCUGCCAGUUUACCACAAACCAACCACUGAAAGCUUACUAAACUAAAGAGAAAUGAACAAACUUGUUAGGGGUUAGACAAUUUUACACAUCACAUAUUUGCUAAUCACCUAAUAACAUGAAUUCAGAAGGCCAUUGUCUCAUCCCAGCUUAGCUUUGUUCAUUGUCUUCCCUUUUUCUUUUCCUUUUUUUGUAAAAAUAAGUUUUGGUCGAACCCUUUGGGGGUUGCCUACGUAUCAUGUCACCGCAUGAAUCAGAUCAUUACGUAGUUCAGAAAUUUAGACAACUCAACAAAAUUAAUUUAGAAUAGCAAAAGAGAACCCUUUCAUUCAUUUCCAAAAGACUUUAAACAAAAUGACAAGACCAAGGGGUUUAAGCACAGUUAUGAUCAAUAUGAUCUCUUUGAACAUCAAAAAACUUUAAGCUAAAACAUUGAGUCUUUAAACAAAACAAGAUGAAACAAACAAACACAAAUAGUUGAACUCUUCUUCAAUCUUCAUCAUCUUCCUAGAGCUUUCGUUGUCCUCCCAAGGUCUCAUACAGAUUCAACAACACCUUUGGUAGAUGGGGAACAAUGGCCCGUGCUUGCUCAGCACCUUCUGUGUCAUUCAUACGACGGUGAUUUUUAAUAACAUAUGAGGUUUGUUCCGCUAGCUGAGGAACUUGACGCCUAGCCCUUCCCAUAUUUCCAUGGCAGUUAUUCAACCAAACCUGAUGAUCACCAAGAUUGUUCCUUAAGAAGGCCUCUCGCUCCUCUAAUGCUUCAAGUUGAUGGCGAAGUAUUGCUCUCUCAAUGAUCAUUUGUCUUUGCCCCACUUCGAUAUCGACACAAUGACUGAUUUUCUUUUUAUGUUCUUCUAACUGUGUUUUAAGAUGAUUAUGCAAAUGCAUCCAACAUGACCUUUCUUUCUCAAAUUUCUCCUUCUGCCGCUUAAGUUCUCCCUUUUGGUAGUGCACGACCUCUUCAGAUGCCACUAAGUCUCUCUUCAAUUGAGAAAUCUCAAAGCUCUGCUCCUUUUUUAUCUGUCGGGACAAGUGAAUUCUACUAUCCAGCUCAUUCUCUAAUCGAGCUAAUUUCCCCUCUGUAUGCUUCAAUUCCCCCUCCACAUCUGGUAACUCCAACUGGUGAUUUCUUCCCCUUUGGACUUGAACUUCUUGUCGGGCAAUGGUGGAUUUGGCCUUCUCCAACUCUUUUUCCAACUGUCUUAUGAUGUGCUAGUCUUUUUUUUCUCUCCUGGAUCCUUCGGGAGUGUCACUAAAUGUCACUAGAUCGCGAAACCAUGAUAGGUACCCAGGAACCACUUUUCCUUUAUCUUGCUCCACAACCAUUUCACUUUACUCAGAAAUUAUACUCCCAUACCAGAUCUUUAGAUUAUCGUCGCUAUUAAAGGAAAAACCUGGUGGGGUCUCAAAGACAAAUCUACUCAUAUGAUCAUUUGGUUGGAUUUCUUGAACUUUAGCCAGCUGACGCAUAACCCGAAGUGGGGCAUAGGGUUGAACACAUCUAAGCCUAAUCAACACAAGAAACGAGAUGCCAGUAGACAUGCAAAUGACAUCCUUAGCUAGAAACCAGUAAUAAUUCCAUACUAUUUCAUCAGACGUGAUCAUCGAGAGCUUCUCUUCACACGCUAAAAUUCCUUUAGGAAAAUUGAUUUUUUCUCCUUUUCCUUAUGGGAGGAAACAUAAUUACACCAGUCUGGAGUGAACCUGGGCGCACGAUCAUGGUGAUAAAGAUGCUCCAAAAACCAUAUUUGCAGCAAGAUGUUGCAGCCUUCAAAGUGCAUUUCCCCAUUUAUGCAGUUAGUCAAUGCACAUAACAUAUCUGUCAGGAUCAUAGGAAUAAUAGUAGGACUUUCCAUUGUGGUCAACACCUUCACAACCCCAGCCAAACGAAUGUCAAUAUGCUUGUCCCGUUUGGGGAAAACAAUGAGCCCCAAAAACGUGACCAUGAAGGCAAAACAUCCAUUCGCCUUCCAAGCCUCUACACCUCCUUGAUUGCUAAGUUGGUUCUGGUAGUUUUCAAAUCCAUCCUUUUGGCCGUACCUUUUGUAUAGAAAGUCCAGUGAGACCCACCAAAUUUUUAAACUCUCCUUCUCUAUUUGGUUGAUCUUGAGAAGGUCCAGGAAUUUUUUGGCAUCGAUGUUCUUUGGGACUAUGGGUCUUUUGUUGCGGAGAUCAGCACCCCGAAUACUGGACCCCUUCCCCAUGAAGCUGGCGAUAUCCUCUAGAGUUGGUGUCAUCUCGAAGUCAGAAAAUUGAAACACGUUAUUUUUUGGAUCCCAUAUAGGAAUCAAUGCUUCGAUCACAUCCCUUCUUGGGUCAAUCUCCAUCAGAUACACUAGAUGUCCCAAAUAUUCUUUUACUCUCCUUUGCUCAUAACUCCCCAUGUUUGUCCACCAUCACUAUAGAUCAUUGGGUAUUGUGUCAACGAUCAUAAAUUUUGGAAUCCCUUCACUUCUAGGCCUUUUGGAACCCUGUCCUUUGGUCGAAGGUGCCAUUUGUACGUUGGAAUAGAAUCUAAUUAAAGUUUUAUCACAAACUCUAAUUGAGGGAGGAAAGAAAAGUUAAAAAAAAGAUUUUUUUUAAUUUAUUAUUUUUAUUACUUUUUUAAAAAUAAAAAAGAAAAAAUACCUUUUUUUUACAAACACUGAACCCAAGAAGGGAUGCCUAUGUAUCUCAUUUUAGUGAGAAUCAUGUGUGCGUAGUUCAUUAAAAAAAUGACUCACACUUGAAAGACCACCCCUUUUAUUUCAACCUCUUUUUAAAAAAAAAUAAAAAAUAAAACUAACAAAGCUAUUUUAAAGUUGGUCAACAAUGUAAAGGCCUUCUGAACAAAUUAUUUUCACGUAGCACAUAAAAUGAACAUGUUGGUCUAGAGUGGGUACCUAUCUUAGAUUUGCUAGGUCAAAUGCACAUGAUGUAAAUAAACGUAGCAUACCAAGGAUAGUUUUGCUAGAUUUAGCACUUUGUAUGGAAGGUGUCUAGACUGGCUUUACUCGAGCCGGGGAGGGUUAGCGUACCUGUAGUAGAGCUAUUUCGGCUUAACUGGUGGUUCAACCCCGCCUAACAUGUGUGACAAACCUAGAACCAAGAGCGUAACCGCACACUGGUUCAUCCUAGACAGAAGUCUUAUGGAGCGUAUCCGCACACACAGUGUAUAACAAAAAUUUCAUAGACUCAGAUAGUGUGCAAGAGAAGACAAUUUAUAUACAAUAACACAAUAUCAAAACAAUGAAUAAUUGAAAUAGCACAAUUAGCCAACAAACACAAAAUUUAUCCAAAUAAUCAAAAUAGCCAGAUAUAGUCAAUGUACAAAGCUCGAAUUCUAAAGAAACUCCCCAAUGGAGUCGCUAGAUCUGUCACACCUCUUCCAUUUUUACAAUUGUUAAUGAUGUGACGGUUUUUUAUAAAAAAAAACAAAGUAAUUUUUUUUUUAGAGUAGCCACUUGAAAUUGAGAUUUUUAGGUAUUCCAAGUCACCUGGUAAUUCCUAAUUUAAAAGGAAAAGACUCUUUAUUUUUAGUCUACAAAAACAGAGAUUGGGUAAGGAAUUCUAUUGACCGGAGGAAAGGUGUGAGGCACCCCCCGAGUCUGGUGGUUCUAGCACGCUCGGUUUAUUAACUCAUGUUUGGCUAAAAUAAUUUUUGGAUAAAAAAAGUAAAUUUGUGUUGGAUACUAAUUUUUUUUUUUUUAAAAAUGAUUGGCCUAGUAGCGUAACCACACACAAGCCCUCUUUUUUAGAAAAAUACACACACACACACCAAGGAUAGUAACCAAACACAUGAUGGUAUUUAAUAUAAUUUGUUUAAAAAAAAACUAAUAAUUAAUUACUCAAAUUUUAUUUAAUAAUGAGAAAAAAAAACUUGUUGCAAUAUAAGGACAUGAAAAUGCUUUUUUGUUUUUUUGCAAAAUGCUAAUUAAGGUUUUUUUUUUAAAAAGAAAAAAAUGAAGUAUCACUACUUGACAAUAACAACAAAAAAAUAUUUUUUUUUAAUAGAAUAAUGACUAAGCCCCCUUUUAAAACAAAGUAGUGAUAUACUAAUUUUUUCAUAUUGAUACAAUUUCAGAAAUAACCAUUUUAGUGAAAUUUUCAAUUUUUUACUCAAAAUGGCCACAUUGUUCUCUUUGGAAAGAAAAUUACAAUUAUAGCCAAUUUAUAUAAUAAUUAAAUUACUAACCAAAAGUAGCCGAUAUUGCAUUUUUUGUUUCAAUAACUCAUUACAUAUAUUUAUUCAAGAGAGAAAAAAAAUUCUAUAUAUUCUUUUUAAAAGGAUUUACAAAAUGUCCAGGAUUAUAUUUUUUGCAAAAAUGAUCAAUUUUAUGUUUUGUUUUUGCAAAAACAACCUCUUUUUUUUUAAAAAAAAAGAGACCAGAAACUAAAAAUUAAAAAAAAAGACUUUGAGAUUGUUAUUUUUUUUUCGUUAGCAAAGCAUGAGUUUACUUAUCAAUUCUACGAUGAGGUAAAGUUAAACUAAACACCACAUUAAUAAUAAAUAUAAAUGUACAUAAUAAUAAAGCAUAAUAAUAGAAGAAUCACAAUAGACUUAACUAACUCAAAACAAACUUAAUACAAACAGCUUAAUCAAAAUAUAAAAAGAACAUGAAGCAUUAAUUUAAGAUUACAUUGCGAAAUGUAAAAGAAAUACCUAAAGUUGAUGACAAGCAAAUAGUGGAAGCAAAUUUGUUGAACCACAAACUCACACAAUGAUGAAAUAUAUUUUUUCUUUUUAGAAGAAGACUUUUACUCUCUCUUCUUAUAAUUUUUUUCUCUUCUUCUCUUUUUUCUUCUUCCUUUUCUCUUAUUUUUUUUUUCUAAAUAUAAUAAAACAUGAAGCAUUAAUUUAAGAUUACAUGGCGAAAUGUAAAAGAAAUACCUAAAGUUGAUGACAAGCAAAUAGUGGAAGCAAAUUAGUUGAACCACAAACUCACACAAUGAUGAAAUAUUUUUUUUUCUUUUUAGAAGAAGACUUUCACUCUCUUCUUAUAAUUUUUCUUCUUCUAAUUUUUCUCUUCUUCUCUUUUCUCUUCUUCCUUUUCUCUUGUUUUGUUUUUCUUUGCAAUGAAAGAAGAAUGGGGUUUAAAUAGGUGGUGAAUAUUAACACUCAUUCUUCUUGAAAACUUAAGAGUCAAUGCAUGCAUUGGACUCUUUGUCUUCCCAAGGCGUCACCCAAGAUGACCAAUAGAAUUUCUUUUUUUUUUUCAAGAUAGGAUUAAUUAAAACGACUGCAUUGUCCUUUUAGAUGACCAUUUAUUUUAUUCAUUAAUUGAAUAAUAGCUAAAUGGGUCAUCUGAAAAUUUAAAAUAGGCCCAAAAUGUUGACUUAUUUGAUCAAAACCCAAAAACCAAAAGAAAAAUCAGCCCACUAACAAAAAAUUGAAACAUCUAAAUUAUGUUGAAGAUCAAACACAACAAAUAAGGCAGAAAAUAAAAAUAAAAAAUUCAAAAUAAUAUUCAAGCAAAAACUUCAACAUAAUAAAACUUAAGGAACACUAACAAAAUAAUACAAAAUUCGGCACGAAAAUGAUUUAUAUGGUUAAUAAAGGUUGUGCUAGUGGCGGAUUUGGAUAGAGGAUGAGAGGGGGGAAAAUAGACAUACAUUUUCGGGUGAAUGGGAGUCGCCGAAAAACUACGCCGAAUUUUUUUUUGACAAAUUUUAACAUAAAAUUUACAUCAAAAGAUAGACUUUGAAGAGUUCUACACAUUUAUGUAAAUUGUAUAGGAUGGGAUGACCGGAACUUCAUAAAUCUAAAGAAAAAAGUGAAAAUUUGUGUUUGAUUUUUCUUAGAUCUACGGAGUAUGGCUACGGAAAAAGUUGAAUGGUUUGCGGAUUUGUGUAGAGAAGGGUGAAAGGAAGAAAUGGUAAAUUUUUCCGGUGAAAUGGUGGUGGUCGCCGGCGGGGAUGGUGGUAGAAAGGGGAGAAAAAAAAAUAAGGCCAAAAUUCUGAUAUUUGGGAGUUUUUUUAUAUUUUUUGGUAGGGUCACAUAAGAGCCCUUGGAUCAAAAUGUUUUGAAUGGUUGAGAUUCAAUCUUGACCAUUGCUAUUGGAUCGGGUCUAAAAUGGAUUGGGCUAUCAGAAUUGGGUCUAAAUUAGCCAAAUUCAAUCAAAAUUGGAUCAUUUGGGCCAAUAAAAAAUAAAUAGAAACAAGGACAAAAAUAUAAAAAAAAAAACAAAAUAUAAGAAAAUACCUUACUAUAUAUUGUAGGAGUAAAUUAAACACGUUAAAAAUUAGGUGUUCACAGUGACUAUUAAUCUCAUCCUUCAACUACAACUUCUUUAAAGGUGGGAAAAACAAUUUAAGGAAUAUAUCUCCCAACUCUCUUCAAGUGGUGAUUAGUCAUGUGACAACUCAUUCAGCCAUUUUAUUGCCUCCCAGAUACAUAGAGACAACAAAAACAACCUUGAUCGAAUUUUCAACUGGCUGACUCGAGGGAUCUCUGAAGACUUGCAAGUGCCGAUGAAGUUAUAUGUUAAUUCAUAUCAUCUCUGGCUGUGUCUCCGAAUAACCCUUUCAAGUUCAACAUCUGGAUCAUAGUACUAGUAAUAGUGAACUUCAUGCCCGAUGGUAACGGUGGAAGAACUAUAUCUCUAGUGGCUCCAACACCAUCCUUAUUUGCAUCAUCAUCAUCAUCCAGAGAAAAAUCAAUGAGAUGUUUCCCUUUGCCUCUCGGAGCUAGUUGACAAUGUUGUGGAGCCACCUCUUCUUCCCCAACAUUGAGAUCUUCUCCAGCAUUAUAGUUGUUACCAUUUUUAGCAUUUUCCCUGGCUUAAGCCUCAACAAUUUCUCUUAGCCUUAGUGCUUUACAUGCUCUUGUGCACUCAUUUUCUUGUGAAUGGAUUUUUCAAGCUCAGGGUCGUAAGGAAUCAACGGUUCACCCUUACUUCAGGUACUUGGCAUGCACUAACCUGUACCCUUCAAGAAUAAAAACAAAAAAUAAAAAGUAAAAUUUGGAAGUAAGAAUAAGAGUUAAAUAACACACACUUGACUUGAUUAACAACCAUAUUCUCCAACAACAAUGACAAAAUUUGAUAUGCACAAAUUAACACUUCAAUUAAGAAGUGUAAAGUGUUUGUCGUCAAAUAUAGAACUCAACUAGAUUGAGAUUGAAUCCCAUAGGGAAUGAAGUGAAAACUAAGUCGCAUGCGGUUAUCUACUUUCCGUUACUUAUUUCUAAAACAUAAUAGAAAUACGUGAAGUUUUGUAUUUUGAUUUAAAGAUCAUUUUUCUUGAAGUAACAAUUAACAAUAUCACAUAAUCUAUCAAUAAAAAACAAUUAACCACGAUUGUGUUCACCAAGACAGUUUGACCAUUUUUUGGGUUAAUUACAGAACUUCAUCUUGUGGCUGGUAUAUCAGUUUAUCAACUUAUGUUACACAUAAAUGUUUCUCAACCAAAUUAAAUGUAUAUCACUUUUAUUCUGUCUAACUUAAAGUGUUCACCAUCAUUUCGAUAGAUAAAAUCUUAAAAGAGUUGAUCUUUCUACAAUAUUAACCAUUAAAAGAGUCCACAUCCUCGAAUUCUUAUUAUUAACUGUUUUUCCAAGAUUUAGCAUUUUUACUAAAAACAAGCUAAACUUGAAGCAUAUUCUAAUGUUUGCAACCAUUAAAAGUCAAUUAAGAUGAAAGAGAUAAUAAGAUAUACAAAUAAAACAUGCAAUUUAUUCCAUAAAAAUCCUAUUUUUAGGUCAAGUUGUCAUGGAUUCCACAAUCCUUGGUUGUGGAGUAUAGCCACUCAUGAUUAAUGGAACAAAGAGUAGAAUUGCAUUCAUUUCAGGAAACUUCUUACAAGACUUAAAGACAAUCAAUCUUUAAUUUCAAUAAGCCGAUGAAAAUCUCAUUCAAACUCCAUUUAAGAAAAAAUAAAGAUAAUAAAAUAAAACCCUAAAAAUACUUUGUAGUUCAAAGAAACUUGAAACAUUAAAAAAGAAAGCAAAAUCCCAAGGCUUGUCUGACGGUGUGUCUGAUGGCCCAUCACAGAAGUGACGAUCCGUCGCCUUGGACUUCAUAUAACUUCAUAGAGUUGUAAAAUCCCUAUAGGUCGGACAUUAACUCUGAUUGCCGAUUCAAAGGAUCUAACAGAUAGUCACCUCCUUUUUCACAAAGCUCAAGAGUGUUUGGCUAAUUCCUGUAGGUAUGACGGUGCACCUGACGACCUGUCUUCAGAGCCCUCUUUCUAACACUUAGCUCUAUUUUGCUUUUUAUUGUCUUGAUUGAUUUCUUGUGCAACACAGUAGAAAACUAUUAAAAUAAAUUGUUAUUACAUAGGAACACACAAUUAUUCCUCAUUAAAAGAAUCAGAUGUGCCAUCAAAUGCCGACAUAUCACAUUUCUCAUUCAUUACACCAUCCUAGCACUUGAACCACUAAGACUCCCUAAUUAUCAUCUAUCCCAUUUAACAUGUCAUAUCAAUUGGCACAAGGGUUACCCCAACAUUUUAAUACCCCAACCCUGUAACUGUUAGUGUAUCAAUGUUACCCCCUAUCCAAUAAUAAUAUGCACCGAUAUAGUACCUAAUCCAAUAUUAAUAUAUGUAUCAGCGUGGUAUCCGAUCCAAAAAUUAUAUAUGUACCAGUAGGAUUCUCGACUGAGUAAUAUUAUAUGUACCAGCAUGGUAUGCGAUCCAACAAUGACAACAACAAAAAUGACAAUGACAAUGACAACAACAACAUCAACAAUAUCAACACAUUAACAACAACAACAAUAACAACGACAACAAAAACAACAACAACUAAAAACAACAACAACAACAACAACAACAAUAACACACAACAACAACAACAAUAACAAUAAUAGCAACAACAACAAGAACAACAACAACAAUAAUAACAAUAACAACAACAAUAAUGGCAACGACAACGACAAUGACAACGAUAACAAUAAAGACAACGACAAUUAAAAAAAUAACGACAACGACAACAACAAUGACAAUAACAACAACAACGACAAUGAAAACAACCACGAUAACAACAACCACAACAAUAAAAACAAUAGCAAUAACAACAACAACAAUAAUAGCAAUGACAACGACAACAACAACAAUAAAAAUAACAACAACAACAACGACAAUAACAAUAACAACAACAACAACAACAAUAGCAAUGAUAACGACAACAACAACAAAAACAACGACAACAACAAUAACAACAAUGACAACAACAACAACAAUAACGACAACGACAACAACAAUAACGAUAAUGACAACAACAACAAUAACAACAACAACACUAGCAACAACAUCAACAACAAUGACAACAACAACAACAACAACGACAACGACAACAACAAUAAUGACAAUGACCAUGACAACGACAACGACAAUGACAACAAAAACAACAACUACAACAAAAACAAUAACAACGACAAUGUAAACGACCAUGACAACAACGACAACGACAACCACGACCAUGAGAACGAUAACAACAAUGACAACAACAACAACAACUAAGGGUGGCAACGGAACCGGUAACGGGACUACCGAACCGGGACGUUCCAGAACUUAUAAUAAUAAUAAUAAUAUGUACAUUUGUAGUAUUCGAUCAAAAAUAAUAUAUGUUAAUAAUAAUAUGUACUAGUGUGGUAAAUGUUCAAAUAUCAACACACAACACAACCACAAUGAAUAGUAACACACUAGUACAUUCAACUAUCAUAUUUAUUGUAUAUAAUUGAUAAAGCUUUCAUUUACAAUCAUCUUCUUUAUUUUAUCCCCAAUUCUAUAUCAGGCAUGCACUACUAACAAACAGUUGACAAACACAUAGAGUAUAACCGGGAAAUAAUCAACUAUCCCAUACUUCCUUUCUGACUAUUUCCUGAUCAUAAUCGGAUUAUCCAAAAUGUCCUUUCAAGAAUAAAGCCCAGUAAAUAUCAUAAUACAAACAAUAUCAAAUUAAGUCCAUCAUCAACCUAAACCACAUCUAACCACGCAUUCAACCCUCCAGACUGCGUGUCUAAAGGUCUAUACAUAAAAUCUCCCAAAAAUCUACAAUGUAUUAUAUAAAUAAAUACAAAUCUAACUACUCAGUUAAGAAAACCUAAUCUACCUGGACGUUAAUCAGUUGGUGAAGACUGAUGAACUCAGGGUUAUGGCUCCAUGAUGAGUGGUGACUUUCCACUUAGUUGAGGCUUUUUUUCUUGUGAUUUUACGCAACUCAAGUAGUGAAAGAGGCUAAUUAUCCAUUGAAUUAUGUAAAUUUAGGUAUUUAUUGCUGGGAAAGAAAAUGGUAGACUAAAUUGGAAAAUGAGUUGAACCUUGCAGGAAUUGAGCCUUUGAUGUCACACCUGCGACGAAGAGUUCGCUUAAGAGAAUGAUCAAUGAAAGUCAACAGGCGGCUUACUCGAUCAUGUUGGAGUCGCUUUUACGAUCUAGCCAAAAAGGUGGGGUUCGCUUAAGUGAAGGAAGUGUCAAUUUUGCAACAUUUGUGUUUGCAAACUUGCAUCCGCUUUUGCAUACUUGGGCAAGGGCAUAAUUGGAAUUUCUCAGAGAUUGGAUCCAAAUUCUCACAAAGGGGCUGAAGAGUAAGAUUAUUCCACAUCAUUCCUUAUCAGAUUUUGAGGAUAGAGUUCAUAUUUUAGCUUAGACUAAGAAAGAACCUUAAUUUUGUAAUGUUCAUAUUUUGGGUUUAGACUUUGAAGGCAAGUUGCCUCACAAUUCACUCGUGGGUUGAAGAUUGUGUACUUAAUUAGGGGUGUGCAUCGAUCGGUUUAGUUUUAUGUAUUAUCGAUUCAGUUUAUCGAUUUUUGGUUUUUUAAUAUGCUAAGUCAAUAACAAACCAAUAAGAUAUUUUUUAUUGGUUUUUGGUCGUUAUCAGUUCGGUUUUUGGUUUACCCAAUAAGAAAAUGUCUGUAAAACAUUAUAUGAAUUCUCACUUCUCUAAAUGCUUUGAUAAAGUGAAACAAGAAAGAUAAUGAUAAAAUUACAUCAAUAAGAAAAAAUAUAGUAUGAAGGCUAGAAUUACAUGUCACCGCCAAAACAUAGUAUAAAAUUUCUUAUGUUAAUCAAAUUAAAGAGUUUUACAAACUUGCAAAAGCUACAGCCUACAAUUACAUACUAAAACUAAAAUCAAAUAGUCGAAGAAGACUAAAACUAAAACUAAAAUCAAUUAACUACAAUUGUGAACCUAGUAUGAAGUGGGUAGAGUACUAAUAAUUUGAUAUAGUCAUAGUGUCUAGUUAUAUAUUAAAUUAUUAAUAUAUAAUAUUUAGAAAUGGUAAAGUAGUAAAUUAUUACCAUCUUAUUGGGCUAUCGGUUUAUCCAAUAACCCAAAAGUAAAAAUCGAUAUCGAACCAAUAACCCAAUAACUUUUUUUACAAGCCCAUUAAAAAUCCAAAACCCAAUAACCCAAUAAUAAUAACCGAAUAACAUUUUUCUGGUUCGGUUUAUUGGUCGGUUCGGUUUUUGCACACUCUCAUACUUAAUAGUAAAAUUAGGGCUUUUGUGAUAGAAAUAGACAACCCUAAUCUUGUUCCAUUCUUUAUUUCCUUACUUACAUUGCUAGAAUUAUGAGUGUAAUUGUGUAUAUGAAAUUGAUUUAUUACUCUAUUGCUUUUGUGAUUCCUUGAUUCCCUGCUUGAUUUCAUAAAAUCGGUUUAAUCUAGUUUUCAUGCUUGAAUUUAUGAUUUGAGAGUGCACACUGGAAUCUAGCUUCCGACUUUGUGGGUUGCUCUAAAGAGUUUGUGAAGUGGAGAAUUAGGUUAAUAAUCAUAUUUGGCUUUGAGUGCUAAAUUUAAGACCAAAAGGACAUAAUUUAGGUCUACCUUGUUAAAUGCUAAACUUGCUAAAAAUAGGGGUUUAUAUUAAGGACUUGUAUUGCUUUGUUGUUGAACACGACUGACACCGAAAGGAGAUAUCGUGAAAUAACACAUGUAGAACAAAAGAUGUUUAGUGUUGACUAAUGAUGAUCUAGCCUAUUGAUGUUUACAUAAUCAAGGACACAACUUCCGAUGCAAGUGUCUACGAUCGUGCAAUAGUAUAAUAACCCAACCAAGGGUUGGGAUCACUCCCAAGGGAGUAAUUUUGAGAAUUAAUAGAAAAAUAAAAUUUAGUUCUAACUAGUCGUAGCUAAAAACAUUAACGAUUAAAAACAUUGUAAAUUAAAGGGGGACACAAGAGUGUCAAUUAACAAUGGGGGUUUUGUCACAAUUAAGUAAAAACAACAAAAUAAACAAGAAUUUCUAAGUAAUGAAAAGGGGAUUCUUGGGAUGUGAAUGGAAUACGGGAUAGACUAAAUCAUUGGGUACAUGUUUUUGAUAGAAAACUCGCAGAGUAAUUAUGACUAGGCUAGAGUAAUUUGACUCACUGAGUUUUACAAGAACUUUAGUCAACGAGAGUGUCCAAACGGCAAUCUUAAUCGUGGUCGCCGACUUGGUUGGCGACACUCCGAACUGAUUCUCAAGCUCGCCGAGUUUUACAGGCUCUGAUUUAUACGUGUGUUAAGCCAAAUGACGAGUCAAGUCGGGUACGCCGACCUCUUCAGCGAUCCACCGACUGACCAUUUUGAUCUCCAAUAUGCAUUUUCCAAACAUUUUCCACACUUAAACAUGCACAACCAACACACCAUUAUUUUAAACAAAAAAGAAAGCAGUAAAUGGAUUUGGGUUGCCUCCCAAACAGCGCCUUAGUUAACAUCGUGGGACGACGUGAGUCAUCAUUUAAGCUUGAUUAUUGGGGUUAGCCAUAUCAUCACUAGGCAACCUCCUGCUUUUCUGCGAAUGAAGUUGAGGCAACGCAUGACCCAUAAGGUUCUCGAGCAGCUGGACAACUCUGGAAUGAGACCAAAUUAUUCGCUUCAUCCCUUCAACGUCUUCUUUCAAUUCUUCCAACUCUCUAUCUUGCUUAGUCACCUUGUGGAGAAUGGUUGAUAGCAUUCCCUAAAUGUGUUUAACUUCAUUGUCCUUGGGAUUUCUUCGCUCAUGAAGAGGGAAAUAUUUAUCCCUCCUCUUGCACUGAGCCUCGAUCUUCACCAUCUUUUUGGCCAACUCAUCCAUCUGAGUCAUCAAUGCGGUCAUCACAAAGUCAUUUUCCACUUCUUGGUUCAUUUUAGUCAUGUUGUCAAGCAGUUGGACUGCCAUCACAUAUGACUACUUCGCAAUAUCACCCGGAAUAAGUUGGUCGACCACCCUCUUAUUUCCUGGGCCAAGACCUCUGUAGAAGCAGUCAAGGAGGAUUAUGUCGGGAAUGUCAUGAGUUGAGCAUUGAGUGAUCAGUUCUUUAAACCUUGCCCAUGACUUGUGGACCCUUUCGCCCUCCAAUUGCUUGAAGGUUAGGAUUCUAUCCCGAAUUAUCAUUACCUCUAAUGGAGGAAAUUCCAUUAGCUCGCAAGUGUUGGUUGAUAUAUUCACCUCCUCUGCUUUUGAAGCACAAAUCAGCAAAACAAAACUAAAAAUAAAGUUAGUAAAACUACAACUAAGAAGAAUAAAAAGUCUACGAAUCUAAGAAUUCUCAAGUAACACCACUCCCCGGCAGCGGCACCAUUUUGAUGUUUGUGUAAUCAAGGAUAGAACUUCUGAUGCAAGUGUCUACGAUCGUGCAAUAGUAUAAUAACACAACCAAGGGUUGGGAUCGUUCCCAAUGGAGUGGUUUUGAGAAUUAAUAGAAAAAUAAAAUUUAGUUCUAACUAGUCGUAGCUAAAAACAUUAACGAUUAAAAAUAUUAUAAAUUAAAGGGGGACACAAGAGUGUCAAUUAACAAUGGGGGUUUUGUCACAAGUAAGUAAAAACAACAAAAAUAAACAAGAAUUUCUAAGUAAUGAGAGGGAGAUUCUUGGGAUGUGAAUGGAAUACGAGAUAGACUAAAUCAUUGGGUACAUGCUUUGGAUAGAAAACUCGUAGAGUAAUUAUGACUAGGCUAGACUUUAAGGGGACAAGCUCUCUCUCGAGCAACUUACCCCGUUUCAAGCGGGUUCCUCUCGGACACCCAUUUGCCGUAUGAAGAACAGCCUCCGCCUUAACCCACUCACUCUCUCGAGCUGAGUGUGUGGACAUGGGACUAGGGUUCACUCUCUCGAGCUGAACCUCAUGUCAACCCACUCGCAUUGGCCAUCAAAUUAGUGGUCUUAGUUUUACGACCUCUCUCUCUCUCGCAAACCGAAAACACAUAUAUGAGAUUAUAUUUGCAACUACAACCUCAUUUAGUUCAUCCACAGCUACUAAACGAAAUCACAUUUAAACUACAAAUAGACUAUCAGCAAGCAAGACCCAAUAACUAAUCUAAUCCAUAUUCACAAAAUCACCACCCAAGAAUUGGGGUUUUUAGCCACACAUGUAUAAGAGAUAGAAAUUUAUAUCAAAUUGAUCUUCCAUUCAAAUGGGUAUGAAGAUUUAGGUCUUGAUACAUGCCAAAAUUGUAUAAUCCAAGAGACCCAAGUCCAAAUCUUGGAGAUGAAACCCUUUGGAUCUUCAAGUCUUCAAAACCCUCUCAAACUUAUAGCAAAAUAUCAAAAAGUACUAUUCUAUAUGAAAAUUAUAAUAAUUGUUCGACACUUAAAACUGCAACUCUAACUAGUUUUAUAGAUUUCACAUAUUUGUGAUGCAGUGGAUCAUUCGGCGUCGUUAGUCGGAAUCUCCAAUCAACUCGGUGAUUCGGCCUUUGGUGUAAUUUUUCACCGUCUUGCCCAGCCUUCAGGAUCGUCGUGCUCUGGGUCAUUGGGCAACAUGGUACUGCUUCGCUGAACUUCUCGGUGAUAUGCCGACUACUCCCUUUUUCCGUCGACUUGAUCCUUUCCUUCAGGGCUCAGCACACUGGAACAAAAGGCGAAGUAAGACCCUUCGACUACUCGCCAAGUGGACUCGGCGAUCCUCAGGCUUUCAUUUCUCCAUUUUUUUCAGUCUUUUCGUUCCUUUUUGCGACGUAGUGUCCAUGCUUUCCUUCAAACUUCAAAUACCUGAAACUUAAGGGAUUUCAUCAGAUAUUGAGAUAAAAUAAGCAUUUGAGGACACAAUUUCUAUUAAAAUAUAUCCCUAAAUGAGUCCAAUUUGUUGACACAUCACCUAUCUAUGAUUGAUUUAGCAUGGCUAAAUUCAUUGAGUGUUGAUUGAAUUAUGGAUUUCACAAUUCCCAUAUAUUUGUUGCUUGAUAUUUUCUUUGCCCAAAAUCAACGCUUGGUUACCAAAAUCACUUUUGAUUUGAUAAUUUUGUAUAUUUCAUGUUUAGGUUCAAACUCGUAGUAAUUCGUUCUUUAUCUUUUCAAUUACUGACAAAUUACUCCUUGUGGGAUUCGACUCCGACUCUUAGUUAAGUAUUUUUAUUGAUGAUGACCGCUUAUUCUUUUAACUUAUUUUGAGGGUAACUUGAGCGUUAUAAAAAAUGGUGCCGUUGCCUUUUAUAUUUCAUCCUGUUUCGUAACCAAGCAAGUUGUUCAUCCAGGCGUCACUCCUGAACACAAAUCACCUCAACUAAAUGGAUCAAUCGAGCUCUCUAUAUUCUCUGGUCUAUCUAACCCCUCCUCUCUCGAUUUUAAGAUUAGACAAUAUAUUUAUAUCUAGAUGGCCAGUCAAGAAAUACUAAAACAAGAAUAUAAAAGUAACUUAUAAUGACAACCAAGAAUUAAAUUCAAGAACCUUAAAUAAUCAACAGUCGAUUCGUAGCUACACCACCAGAACAAGGGCGUUCAACCACUAAUGUCUAAAAAAACAAGAAAGAAGAAAAAAACCCUAAAAAGUAUUGACAACUUUUUGGUACAAACUACUUUCUAAUUGAUCUCCCCUCUGAGUUACCCCAAAAUAAUUAUUUUUAUGGACUAUUUAUAGAUAUAGAAAACCUAGAGAAAAUAAUUGAGUCAAAAUCAAAUUAGAAACCAAAACCAAAUGAAAGUAGAAUUCUUGUCGUACGCGUGAAGCACUGUCCACAAUUGUUUCUGUUGCUUCAAUUUCUGCCACGUGGUAGGCAGAAAGAUUCCUUCAAUUUCUCUAUUUGCUGCACUUUUCCUUAUACAUUAUUAUAUUGAAUUUAUUACAUUAAUCUACCUUCUUGAUUUCCUUCUUUAAUUCAUUUUAGUACUAAACUUCUUCAAUUUUACAUCAAUUUACUCCUAUAAAUAAAAUACACUAUUUAGCACAAUCCAUAAAAUUCAUGCUCAAAAAGGGAAAAUAUAAAUAAUAAAUGUAAGACAAAUAAUGAUUAAAAAUCUGUAUUUUUGGCCUCACAUCACUCACUUCAUGGAAAUCGAUAUUUCGACAAGGUUGAUCACCAUUCGGGGCAAGGUUUUCAAUUAUGACCCGAAAUCAACCAAUGUCAUCUAUAGGUUUCUAGACCAUGAUAUUGAGGCCUUCAAGGAAAGGAUUGUGAGUUGGGUGCGUGGCUAGCAUCAAAGCUAUGCCCAGGCAAAACUUUCCCGUGGGCCAUCACAAAGGCUAGAAUUCUAUGCUCUGAUUUGAUGGCCGAGGCAAGAACAUGGAUGUCCAUUGUAUGCAACCACAUCUCACCAAGUGGGAAUAUUAGCAACAUUUCAAUGUCGUGGGCACAAAUUGUGGCAUGUAUACUUGAUGAUGUCCCGUUGAAUAUAGUCCAUUUGAUCGUGAAUGAGUUCUAAAAGUUUAUGCUUCAUGACAACCUCUCUCUGGUUGUCCUUUCUUUGAUCACAGAGCUAUGCAAGUGGGCUGAAGUGGAAGUGCUCUUGGGUGACACUUGGGUGGAACCCAAACAACAAAUAUUUCCCAUUAAGAUGCAUGGUGAAGGCACAAUUGUGAAAAUCAAGAAGAGGAAAGUUGAUUCAGGAAGUAUGUACAUGUGGAGGAGGAUUCACAUAUACCUCCAGUUUUGGGGGCAUUUGAAUCUCUGGCUAGUGAGUUAAAAAUUAUGAAGGAAAUUAUGACAAAGUUGUCUCAAGGGCCGUGUGAGUCAUCUACUAAGUCGGUAUCAUAUGUUUCCCAACACGAGUUUGAUGCCUACUUAAGUAAUCAAAGGAAGCAGAAAGCUCAACUUGCCAAUUUGGAGAAGGCUUACACCAGUUUAGCCAAGUCACAUUGUGAAUUGAGUGUCUCACAUAGCAAGAUGAAGAAUCAUGAUAAAAGUAGAGAUAAGUUCUUCACAUGGAUAUGGACAGGGGUCAAAGGCCUUUGGAAGAUGUUGAAGACAAAUGAGCCACUCUCGACUUUAAGGUCGAAUGAGGAUGGAGAUGCACUAGCUACAUGGUCUAAUGAUGAGAGAGCUGAGGACAGUGAGGCCACCGAGAGUAAUGAGGAUUGAGGUAGCCCAGGGAGCCCCUUUGUAUUCUCUUUAUAAUUUCCAUAGUUGUGCUGUGAGGACAAUACCAUUUUUAGUUGGGGGUUCUCCCUAUAGGUUGUUUCCACUGUUUUGAUUGACAUUCUGGAUUGAUGUUUUUGAUGAUUUUGUUUAUUGUUAGGAUUGGUCACGUUUAUUAUAUCUUUAGCUUUAAUUAUGUUAGUAUUUUUUGUUAGUUUAUUUUGGUAGUAAUAAAUGGUGGUGAUAGUGUUUCAUUCUUGUAUGCUUUAAAGUAGGGAAAGUCUGAGUACCCGUAGUUUGUGAGAUUGGAAGCCCUUAUGGAAAUUUAAUGAAAGGACUUAAAUUUGUCCAAUGAUAAAUUGAGUGACGUCAUACUUAAGGGAAAAUUGUUGUUUUAUUGAGUGUUGAUGGCUUUGUGAUGCUUUGAUAUAAGGUUGUGACUUAUUUGGUACUAAUAGACUUAGUCAAGUCUCAUGAGUCAUAAAUGAUCACCCCCGAAGAAUUUUUGUGAAAAAAGAAAUUGUGGAAGUGAAUGACUGUGUGAUAGUGUUUUGUCUCUUUUUGUGACUCCAACUUACUAGGCGGUGAAAGUGAAAAAUAAAUCCUUUGUUCUUGACUAGAAAGUGAAAUUGAUCCAUCUUGAAUAGUUUACAUGAUAUGUGUGGUGAGCUUUUGAAAAUAAUUCCUUGUGUUCACGUGUGUUAACUAGAACUUGCCCAGUUGGUCUUGAAAUGUUAGCCUUGAUUGAGUUUGGUUGGAGAAAUGAUAAUAGGCUUUCAUUGAUUGUCUUGAAGUCCACUUGGUCUAAAAAUCUCACAUUUGCACUAAAUAUAUACUUACUUGUCCCCUUCGAGCCUAAUUCUUUUUAUUGAAAACCUCAUUACGAGUCUUAACCCUUUUGAAAAAGUAACAAUCUUUUGAAUCCUUUCCUCCUUAAACUUGAAGUUGUGAAAGUUGAGGCAAAAAACCUAAGUUGGGGGUGUUAUGGAAAACUCAUAGAAGGGAUGCUUCCCACAUGAGGGCAUGAUAAGAAAAAAAUUGAGAAUAGAGGAAAAAGUCUUAAAGAAAGAAAAGCUUUGAAAAAGAGAGAAAUAACGUGAAUAAAUAAGACUUGAAUCCUCCGAAAGUUAAAAAUGAUUGCAUAUGGGGGCAUGUAGAGUGAAAAUAAGAAAAAAAUAAAAAAUAAUGAGAAGUGUGCAUUAGUUUGAAAAGUAAAAAAAUUGGAAAUGAUGAGUUGUUGUGUAGUGUUCAAGGAGGAUGUAGUAACUUGUACCUAAAUGAUAUCAUAACCCUCCCUAAGCCUACAUUACAAGCUUAACAAAGUCCUUUGAGAUCUCCAACCAAAUGAAGUUGAGUCAAUGUUGAUGGAAAUUAUGGGCAAGCCUAUGGUGAGACAUUUGUGUGCAUGAGAUGCUUCUAUUGUGAGUGUGAGUGUUUGUACUUUUGUCCCUUGUUUUGUGAAUACUUGUGUGUGCAUUUUUGGGACAUCUUCUUUCUUUGUAGGGCAUGAAAAUUAGGAUGGAUUGAUGAAGCUGAUAGAUUCCAAAUUUGAGUCAAGGGAAGUUGUUUAGUUGACUAGUAAUUGUGAGUCACUUCCUGAGAAUUAUUGUUGUCACUUUAUCAUUCUUGGAUAUCCAUUGUGUUUGAAAUUGUGCUUAAACUUGAGGGAGUUGCUUGACUAGAAAAUAAAUUGUUAGUACCAACCAUAGCCAUGACCAUGACCAUGAUCCUUAGUUGAAGUAGAAGGGUUGUGUGCUUAAUUUGAGUGCCUCUUAUGGUUUUGAGCUUGUUUUGCUUGAGGACAAACAAAAUUAUUAAGUUGGAGGUGUUGAUGGGUGGUGAAUUUUUACUCAUUUGAGACUCUUUUUCUUUUGAUUUUGUGGCACUCAAGUAGAGAAAUAGGCUAAUUAUCCAUUGAAUUAUGUUGAUUUUAGGUGUUUGUUUUUGGGACGGAAAUGAUGGAAAAAAGUGGAAAAGGAGCUGAAUUUGGCAGGAAUUGAGCCCCUGAUGUCGCACCUGCGACGAAGAGUUAGCUUAAGCGAACGGUUAAUGGAAGUCAACAGGCCACUUACGUGACCCUACGGGAGUCGCUUUUGCGAACUAGACAAAAAGAGUUUGGUUCGCUUAAGCGAGAGGAGUGUCACUUUAGUGACAUUCGCUUUUGCAAAUUUCCAUCCCUUUUGUGAAGUCUGCUUACUUGGACAAGGGCAUAUUUGGAAUUUCUCAGAGGUUGGAUCCCAAUUCUCACAAAGGGGAUGAAGAGAAAGAUUAUUCCAUAUCAUAUUUUGAGGAUAGAGUUCAUCUUUUAGCUUAGACUAAGGAAGAACUUUAAUUUUCUAGUGUUCAUAUAUAUUUUAGGUUGAGACUUUGAAAAUAAGUUGUCUCACAAUUCGCAUGUGGGUUUGAAGAAUGUGUACUUAAUAGUAAAAUCUCUUGUUUCCUUCUUCAUUUCCUUGCUUUACAUUGCUAGAAUUUUGGGUGUAAUUGUGUAUAUGAAAUUGAGACUUUUGUGCAAGAAAUAGACAAAGCUAUUUGGGUAUUUGAUUUAUCACUUUAUUGCUUUUGUGAAUCCUUGAUUCCAUGAAAUAAGUUUAAUCUAGUUUUCAAGCUUAAAUUUAUGAUUUGAGAGUGCACGCUUGAAUCUAAUUUCCGAUCUUUAUUCAUUGCUCGAAAAAGUUCAUGAAGUGCAGAAUUAGGUUAAUAAUCAUAUUUGACUUUGAGUCUUAAAUUUGAGAUCGAAAGAAAAUAAUUUAGGUCUACUUUGUUGAAUGCUAAAACUUGCUAGAAAUAGGGGUUUAUAUUAAGGUCUUAGAUUGCUUUGUUGUUGAACACGAUUGAGACUGGAAGGAGAUAUUGUGAAAUAACACUUUGAGACCGAAAGGAUAUUAGUGUUGACUAAUGAUGAUCUGGUCUAUCUAUAAUUGAUUUAGCAUGGUUGAAUUGCAAUAGGUCAUUGAGUGUUGAUAGAAUUUUGAAUUUCUCAAUUCUCAUAUAUUCCUUGCUUGAUAUUGUCUAUGCCCAAAACCAUGGCUUGUUUACGAAAAUCAAUUUUGAUUUGAUAAUCUUGUAUAUUGCAUGUUUAGGUUCAUACUCAUAGCUAUUCAUUCUUUAUCGUUUCAACUGCCGAUAAAUUGUUCCUUGUGGGAUUCGACCUCGACUCUUAGUUGGGUAUUUUUAUUGACGACGAUCGCUUAUUAUUUUAACUUGUUUUGAAGGUAAUUUGAGUGUUAUCACUCUGUGGGGGAUAAUACUGACAAUCAUAGAUCGGAAAUCAUUGGGUUUUACCCUAUUUUGUGUUGAAAAUUCUCACCUUUAUUGUUUUUGAGCUUAGGUGGCUUGGUGGGAUUUUUGGGCGUAACCCUCGUUUGUUUUCUCCCUGAAAAGUGGGAGGAAUAAGUAAAAGACAUCGCUUUAAUUAGAGUCUGAUUCUGUCAGUCCCGCUAUAGCAGACAUGUAGACGCUAUAGUGGCGCCUCCAUAGCGAGAGGCUUCCCGCUAUGGCACACAUACAUUAGCCCGGAUCAAUUCAAAUUUAAAUAAUUUUGUCAUCUGCCCUAAGUCUUAAUUUGGUACCGUAUUUCAAGAAUUUUUUAAAUUCCGCAUGAGGUGAAUUUAAAUAAUGACGGAUUAGGUCGUUACACUCUUGUACUUAUCUCAAUUUGACAUUUCGGCUCCUAUGCUCCUAAAAGUUUCAUUCAGAGAACUUAACUCGAUCAAAAUAAAUAUCUUAUAUCCCUCAAACACAUGUGUAUUCCUACUUGCAAUUGACAUGGAUGAAACAUAAGAUCCACUGUUGGGAUCAAAAUAGUUGGCAUCUUGCUUAAGUUAGCAAUUACAACUAUGAUGCUGAUAAAUAUGAGACAAAGAAAACUACAGAAAAUAAUAACUAGACAUGAUAUGAGUUUGAUCAAUUAACCUACAUAUGAUAAUACUAAUAUAAAUUAUUUUAAAGUUAUUGAGAGAAUUUAUCUCUCCCUAAACAGAAUUCUCUAAAUGACUAUAUUUUGAAUAUUAUUAUGUUCUUCAUUAGAAGAAGUUCUUCAUUUAUUGAAUCACAAGACUUCUCUUCCAAGAAAAGAAAAGACAUUCUAGAGUCCUUUUCCACAACGAAAAUCUUUUCUACCAAACUUUUAUUAAAAAUAAAAUACGUUUAUAAUAGAUUUCAAAUAAAGGAAAUUUAUGAGAAAUACUAACAUCUACAUCACUUGCCACAAGUCCCACAACCUUCUUAUAUUAUUUUAAUUACCUUCCUUAAAGAAAAAAAAUAAUUAAAGUGAAAGAGAAAGGAAUAUGCAAAAGCAUCAUAGCUAUUCUCACUUUGAAAUAAUAGAUCUAACAAUUUUCAUGUCUAUUCUCACUAUGGUUAAUGAUAUUUUAUAGGGUAAAAACAAUCAGACGUGUGGUCCAGUUAGAUCAUUAUACAUGGAUAAUGAUAGAAAUUGCGCAAGGUAAAAAAAGAUGAAAUACAUGGUCAAAUCGUACGAGGAUAUUGCAAUGGAAAGCCUACGAUGUCUAUUCUAUAGGAACCAAACCGGGACAAAGAUCAGAACAACCUGUAGGAAGAAACUAAUGACUAACACUAAUCUUUAGUGAUAGUUCAGGUACAAAACUCGCUCACAUGACAGUUUAGGUAGGCACAUAUUUAUUAUCAUUAAAUAAGAUGAAAGCAUACAGAAUUCAAGUGCAGGAAAUGUUUGUGAUCUUUAUUAAUAGAUCACUUCUUUUGUGAGACAAGAAGUAUCUUAAAAACCUUGGCAUCAUGCCGCGGUUUCUAGAAGUGGAUAGUCAGUAUAGCCAACAACAGGAUCAGAUAUGUAGAAUGUCUCCCUGAUAUACUUGUUCAGAGGAGCAUCUAGCUCAAAUCGCUUUGGUAAAUCUGGAUUGGCUAAGAAUAGACGCCCAUAUACAACAAGAUCAGUUCGAUCUUCAAUCAAAGCUUUGUUUCCAUCUCCUCUAUCGUAACCGCCAGCUACCAAAAAAGUACCUUUAAAUGCCUUCCUCAUGGGUACAAGGCUUUCAGGACAUUCAACUUUUUCCGCAAGUGUUUUCAUCCUAGGCUCAACCAUGUGGCAAUAAGAUAUACCAUACUUAUUCAAGGAUUCAGCCAUGUAAAGACCCAAAGCACUUGGGUUUGAGUCUCCUGAUACCAUGUAGUCAGCAAAUGGGGAAAGCCUAAAUCCAACUCUGUCAGCUCCAAUCUCAUUUACAACUGCUUCAACUAUUUCAAGUGCAAAUCUACAAUGGUUCUCUAAAGACCCUCAAUAUUGAUCAGUUCGAUCAUUGACUUGGUCUUUCAUAAACUAGUCAAUUAGAUAGCCAUGAGCUCCAUGGAUCUCAACCCCAUCAAAUCCUACAAAUUGAGCAGAUUACAUAAGAAAAACUUGGUUUGAAUGAGUGUUUUAGUUUGAAGACAAUACUGUUGUGAUAGUACAUGGAGAGUUAUUCAAUGAAAGGAUUGUACAUCACAACUGAUCAACUCACCAAUAAAUCAAUCUAACAAAGAAUAGAUCAAUUAAUCUAUUCUUUCGAGAUACUAGCUACUCAUCUUUAAAAAAUAUAGUACAAAUAUUUUCUAUUCCAGAAUAUCAGACUGAAAUAGUUUUCCAUUAAAGCAGUGAACUUUAGAAGAAAUUUUUACCAGCUUCAAUGGCAUUUCUAGCAGCAAGCCGAAAAUCGUUUACAAUGUGAGGAAUUUCAUCUGUUGUAAGGCGCCGUGGAGGGGUAAAUUCUGCAACAUGUAGUCCAAUUUGAGGUGUUAAUGGCUUGUCUGUGCAGGAUAUAGGAUCCUGUCCAUUGGGCUGGAAACCUGUAGAUAGGAGUGGGUCAAAAGUUACAUUUAGUGAUACAUUAAUUUUCUCUUCCAAGUGAGUUACCUGUGUUGGAAACUCUGCCAACAUGCCAAAUUUGGCAAAAGAAGAUUCCUCCUUUGGAAUGGACAGCAUUUACAAUUGGUUUCCAGGCCUCCACUUGCUCCUUUGUCCAUAUUCCAGGAGUAUCAGUGUACCUUCCAAUUAAUAGGCGAAUUUAGCAAAGAGUAUCUAGAAGAUGGCAAUUGAGAAGUUGGUUAAUUGCGGUUACCCUUGGGCAGUAUCAGAAACUCCUGUGGCCUCGGCUAUUAGAAGACCUCCUUUUGUGUUUCUUUGUGAGUAAUAAAGGAUAGCAUGUGGUUGUGGAACAUUACCAUAUGAUCUUUGCCUUGUUAAUGGCGCCAAUACAACUCUGGUAAACAUAUCAAGUGUUAUAAUAACAAGUAAAUCACAUUUUAUCCAUAUUUACGUAACCAUAGAUUUAAACGAUACGAUACAAUAGAAUUUAAGUAACAAUUAAAGCAAAUAUUGUAUUUAAGCUAACAAUAUAAUACAAAUACAAUAGGUAACAACCAUCCAAAUGGUAAAAAAAGGAAUGAAG
rnacentral:lncRNA from 1 species